GAAACACACUUACAACAGGAUAAGAUUUAGCAAAACAAACAACAAGGACAUUUCACUUUUAGACAGGCGACUUCCCUCAAAACAAACAACUAACAGUAGAUAUUGACUUGAGAAAAAAUUAAUUGCACUUGAGUUACACCCACAUUCGAGCUUCAUCAAUCCAAACAUUCCCUUAUUGAUGUCAACUUCCCAAACUCUGUAAACACGCAUCCGCUUUACAGUGGAAUUUAAACUCAGUAUGAAAACAGGAAUAUAUACAAACUAGCAGGUAUCCUGAUAGUGUUCUCAAAAGAAGAAAGCUCAAAAGCAAUCAAGGGCGUUGAGAUCAAGGAAUCUUUUAAUUAUACUAUUUGACACAUUCUCCAAGACCCACGUGGCAUACCUCUCCGUUCUCCAUUCCACGUGGCGACAGACCUCUUAUCCAACUCUACAACUGACUCUCUCUCUCUCUCUCUCUCUCUCUCUUUUCCCUACUCUUCUAAGGCUGUCUCUCUCUCUUCAACUACCACACUUUCUCUCUCUCUCUCUUCCCUCCCCCAUCAGGCGGUGCUCCUCUCUUUCUCUCUUCCCCUCUCUCUCUUUCUCUCUUUCUCUCUUUCUUUGUCUUUCUCUCUCUUCCUCUCUCUCUAUUUCUCUCUUUCUCUCUCUACAAAAUUCAUGUCAUCCCACUCAUACCCCCUCCAAAGCUCUAUAAAUAGCUCAGAGUAGACGAUCGGAGGGGCGGGCGGUGCGAGAGCGGAUCGUUCACACCCAGUUGCACAUUACAUUAAAAAAAAUAAAAAAAUAAAAAAAAGUGAAGAAGAAGGAGAUGGGAGCUAUAUAUAUAUAUAUAUGAAGAGAUAAAUUACAUCAAUAUAAAUAUUUUAUAUUGAUGUAUGGGCGGAAUUAUCUCUGAGGGUUUUUCAUGUGUAUAUAUACCUAUAUAUAUGAUUGAGAGCGGUUUGUUAUAUAUAAUUUGUUCAAGAGUAAUAUUUUAAUUCUUCUUUUUAUUAGUUUCAUCCACUUCAUUUUUUUCUUUUAUCGCUGGGUGUUGAAAGAGUCUCCGUCAACCUCUUUCGCCAUUCGUGCUCGUAGGAGGAAUUCCGGUCGUGCCUUGCGUUGUUUCAAUUAAUCCCCAUGAAAGGACGGAAUAGUCUUAGGAUAGUGACUCGCACGCUUCCGGAAAGAUCAAAUCUUUAUUUGGAUUUUAGCGUUUAUCAGUAAGGUGCUGUUUUAUUUAUUUCUAUCACAAAACUAGUUUAGUAUUCUAAUCACAAUUGGAUUUUUCAUUGCGGGUUUUCCCCAACAAUACCGGUAUUGAAGCAAAAUCUGUAAAAAUAGAGGGAAAAAACUCUGCUCCAAAGCUCGAAAAUUCUGAAAACGGAGAGAGUUGGUUCCACUUCCUCAAGCACGACAGUCUUUAUUCUUUUUUUUUCUUUUUCCUCUCCAUUGGGCAUCUCUGCAAGGUCCCACUUUGCCAUCUCUCUCCUCUCCCCCUCCUCCUCCCCAGUCAAGUUGUACCCUUUCUCUUUUCCUGCUCCAUCCUCAGCCUUCUCAUUGUCUUCCUCAUCUUCGCGUUGCCCAAGAAAUUUGACGGCCUGCGCCACCUGCUUCAAUGAUGCAGUGAAGGUAGUUUGCGCCCUCCUAGUCUCUAGAGUCCAUAAACUCUUGCGUUGACUGGGCCUGGCUCACGUGAUGACCUUUGCCUCUUUGGUCUCACCGGGUGUCAUCUGUAGACUAUUCUUGAAAAGAUCUUUUCAUUUGUAGCUUUUUCUCUUUCUCAAUUCCGUCACAUCCCUUUUUCGUUAGGGUGACGUUUCUUUGCCCUGUUCGAAUUGAACACGGAUGUGCCAUCAGAUUGACGGUGAGGACAUGUGCUCAAUGCAGAAAAAAUAGAAUGUACAUGUUGAUCCAAACAUUAUCAUAGUAAGUUUUCUAUGUUCUCUUGAGAUGCAUCAAUCUAAUGAAUCUUUUUUUUUUUUAACUCUCGGCGAUCUUUUACUAGGCAUCCAAAUAGGCCCUUAGCUUGUAACAUUUUUUUAGCAUCUAUGUUUUUUUUCGAAGAAAAUGCCUUAAUGCAACCAACUGAUUGCAUUGCAAGCAGCAAUUACAACAAGAGUAGAUUAGAGCUACUGGCACAUCCUAAUCACAAAAGAAUUUAAUGGUUACAAAAAACAAAAAGGAAAAAGGCUACACUACUAGGCGAAGGCCUUACUUCUUAUUUUACAAUAUUGUUUCGUUUAUAAACGAAAAAAAUGAUUAUAAGUAUCAGCGAGGCUUGUAUCUUGUUUUACUUAGUUUCGUUAUUACGGUCAUUAUUAAGGUUCAUCAAGCAUUGUUUUUUGGACAAGUAUUCUUGAUUUUUUUGUUUUAUAUUUAUGAAUACAUCAAACUAGGUGAAGAGAAUAUAUAUCCCAUUACCGGAUGCAAGUGUACGAAGGCUACUUCUGAAAAAGCAACUUAAAGGACAAGCAUUUUCAUUGCCCAGUAAGUAGCAGAGUUCACUGGUCAUUUCUUUUGCGAUGAAAUUUUACUGCUUUGAGUGAGAACUACUAAUACUCAUGCCACAGUUUCACUUAGAAUUGCUUUUUUUGUCUUGUCUUUCCAUUGUUUGUAUUCUAAAAAUGGAUGUACUUUUUUCAAACUGUUAUUCUUGCCAUCGGCAUUUUCCAUUGAUACAAUGUUGGCUACAAGCGUAUAACAGUUCUAAUUGAUCAGAGGGCUUCGUACAAACAAGGCUUUGGAAGUGUUUGCCGAUGUUUGCGAACAUGUAUGUAAAGUUGUAAACACGCAUGAAAGUGGGUGAGCAUGAAAGGCACCCACGGACACAGUUGUGAUCCUUUUAUGUGGAUUAUUCACUGAUUCAGCAUUCUUUCAUCGUUCAUUAUGAAAUCUGCAUAGAGGACAGUUAAAACCGUUUAAAUAUCUUGUCUGAAAUUAUACUUGUCAAUGCUUUCUGCUAACUUUCUGUGAACUUUGUUGUUUGUUUUUUUUUUAAAUUUUGGUUUAUUGCGCAUUAUUUCUCCAUGAAGCCCUCUUUACCUGGUUGAAGAGCAUUAGGUACUUGGUUUUGUCUGAAAUAGUCUUUCGUGAAGAAAGGAUGAGAUAGACCUAUUAUGUUAGGGUUGAAAGUUCUCAAAGACAUCCUUGUGAUAUUUUAAACGGCCAGUGAGAGGAAUUAAUCCUGGAAGUAUUUGUAAGUUAACCUCAAAAUAUUGCAUGCAUGUACAUGUUUAGUGUUCGGAGAAAUACCAAAAUAAUGCGAUGUAGCCGGUGUUCUAUCAGGGAGUUUUGAGCGUUUUGAAAAUGAUAUAAAAAUCAAUUUUUCAAGAAACCAGCAUUUGAGACACUUCUCAUUUUGGAUUGCUUUUGUUUCAUUGCUGCUAAAGGAAAAAUGUGUGAAGAAAAUCUCAAUAAUAUAAAUAGCCAUUUGUUUCAGUCAGUUAUGUUGUAUUGUUGCUGAAUGAAAUGGAGCAGUGUAUCUCACAUGACAAGCAUUCAGAUUUCAAACCUUUGUUAGAACAUGAGCUUUUUUAGAUGCUAGAAUCAUCCUCUCAUGGAAGAACUCUCUCUUACAGGCAGUGAUAUGGAAAGACUUGUCACGGAGACCGAAGGUAGUAUAUUCUACAGUACAUUACUGAUCUAUCGAUUAACCUUUUUAAAGUGCUUUUCAAUCGAACUGUUUGUAUGAUUAGGAUACUCGGGAAGUGAUUUGCAAGCUUUGUGUGAGAAGCUGCAUGAUGCCAAUCAGAGAACUCGGUCUCAGCACAUUCUUACAUAAAAAGCAAUCAGGUGACCACUCAAAUCUAUUCCGCUAAUUGGUGAUUCUCUGAACCAAAUUAGGAAAUUAUUACUCUUCUCCUUCUCAAGGUUUUUUAUUGUGAGAAGUUACAUUAACUUGCUUUGUAGUGCGAACUAUCACCCAUCAUGGAGAAUUGACUUAAAUGCUCCUUUUGUUCUUUCAUGUUCAUUUUAACAAUCUCCUCCAGUCAGCGAUGUUACUUCAUUUUAGUUUUCUUCUCAACUUCUGAAGGAUAGCGAACACACUGUUGAUUUAGACUCCUACUAAAGCAUGAAUUAUUAGUGGCUCCUAUUUCUUUUUUCUUUGUUGUUGUUGUUGUGUUGUUGUUUCUUUAUAAUAAUGAGGGGCUUAAAUCCUCUGAUGCUAUUGUGCUUAUUGUGCUGUUGGUGUUCUCCACUGGUCUUUGGGUGAUUCCUUAGAAAAAAGGCACCUUACAAAUUAACUCUCAGAGUGCCUUAUUAGGAAAGUUAAAAAUAGGCCAGUAUUUAUAUUGCUUUAUACAAAACAGAGAUGUCCCACUUUGUUGGAUCGAUAAAUCUAUUAUAUUGUUAACACGGACAGGUAAAUCCAAGUUUAAAAAUAUCGGCUUGCAUCUUUUUUCAGGUGAGACCACUAAAGAUUUGAAGAUUUUAAGAAAGCGAUGACGGUCAUGUAGACCAAGCUUGCAGAAGAGCAAGUGGCGAGAGAGCUCGAGCAGUGGAAUCAGGAAUUCGGUCCAAUUGAAAGUGUCACUACUUUUAAGGACUGUGAAGUUGCAAGCAACAAUUUUUAUCGUAAUGUUGAUGCAUGUAUAUGAGGGUGAUCUACUCUAAUUGGCAUUAGAUCAUUUCUUCAUCGUCGCACUUUGCUGUCCCUCCCAUUCGAAGCGCAGAUAAACGAGUCGUAUUUCUUCCUCCCUGUGGUUGGCUGCGGGGAGUUUAAUUCAUGUACAGAAAUAUAUAUGCAGGAGUUACUUUUCAUUUCUUGUUCAUAGAACCACAGAAACCCCCUUCUUCGUAUUAAAUUAUUACUCACAAAAGUGAAAUAUUUUGUGAAGAUUCACAAUAGCACGUCUACCGUCUGCCCUUGUUCAGGUUGUUUCAUAUCAGAAUGUAUACAAAUAUUAGUUUCACUUAGUAUAGGAUCCGUCUGCGAACGGGUAUAUAAUAUUUCAACUAAUUCAAAUAUAUAAUUAUUAAAAAUUAAAAUAAAAAAUAUUAAAGUAUACAAAUUAUAAAAUAGUCUUAUAUACAUUAAAAAAUAAUUUGUUAAUUAAUAUUUUUUUAACUUUUAAUAUUUAUAGGGUUGAAUUAUUUAAUACUUUUAUUAAAAUUUUGACUAAAUAUUAUAGGCUAAUUUGAUAAAAAAUCCACUUAUUUUGGGCUUUUGCAAAAUCGGGCAAUCUUUUUCGUUUUUGCAGAUUCGGUCCGCUUUUUUCAGCAAACUGACCAAAAUACUCUUAUUACUUUUUCACUUUCUCUUUUCUCUCCUCUUGCGUUCUCCGUCGUUCUUUUUUUUUUCCGCCGGAAAAAAAAAAGCGAAGCCAGGCAGAGCAAUUUUUUUUUUCUCUUUUUCUUUUUCUUCUCUUCUUCCUCCUGCUACAGCACUUUUUUUUUUCCUCUUCUUCUUCUUCUUCUUCUUCUUCCUGUAAGAGCACGGGGCGCGCCACGGCGACUUCCGGCCUCGCCAAGCAGUGUUCACCCGGCGCGUUCUGCAGGGAGGAGUCGCACCAGCGAUCGCGAGCGCCGCGGCGAGGGUGGGCAGCGCCGGAGGCGUCUCCAGCGUGGAGCGGUGGGAUGUUCCCGUAGCCGAGAACGUCGCGCAGCAGUCGAGGGCGGCGGUCCGCCACUGCCAGUGCUCGCUCGGCGGCGUUGGCCGCCGUCGCGAUCUCCGACGCUUCUUCUUCCGUAAUGGGUGUAAUUGGUGCACGCGGGCCGUGCACGCGAGCGGCCGAGCGGGCACGGGGCGUGUGCGGCUGCUUCUUCUCGGAUCAUAAUGAUGUAAGUGUGCACGUAUUACACCAUUAAUGGUGUGUAAUGGUGUAAUACACCAAUUAACAUGUGUAAUGGUGCCACCAUUAACCAUUACAUGGUGAAAUUACCACCCCAUUUAAUGAUGUGGUAACCAUUACACCAUAAUGGUGAAUAUUCACAAUUUAAUGGUGUAACCAUUUAACCGUUAAUGGUCGUUAAUUACACCAUCUUACAUCAUUAACCGUUAAUGGUGUAAUUACACCAAUUAACACCAUUAAUGGUGUAAUGGUGCUAAAUUACACAUUCCAACCGGUGCCGCGGCCCGCGAGCGAGAGUUUCCGCGGGUGGAGCUCCGGCGCCGCCGCAGUGAAGCAUGGUCUCGGUCCGGCCGCCGGGCGGUGGCGCCUCCGCAGUGAAUAUCCACCGCUCCCCUGGAGACUGGCCCCUCCUCCCUCCCUCCGACCAUGUCCUCCGAACUUCUCCCAGAUCCUCCCUCGACCAUCGUCUCGACUUCCCAGACCCAGCAGCGAAGCCGAAGCAGAAGCAGAAACCAGAAGCGGGGCGAAGGAGGACGGGGCUCUCCCUCACCGCACGGUCCGCGUCGGCCGUAGUUGCCACGCGAUGCGCGGAUUGUCCGCAGCAUCCGUCCCUCGCGACGCCGCCCCCGCGGCGGCGAGCGGCGGGCGAACCGUAGGUGCGACCGGGAGGCGCCGCGGUCAGUGGGCGGGGGCGGGGGAGGAGACGCUGGCUCGGUUUGGGAGGCGAGAAGAAGGCGAGACGCCCGCGGUGUCAUCCCGCCAGCCCGCGGAUCUCGAGGCGGCCGGCGGCGGCGGGGGGCGCCGCCGACGAACGAGGCCGCGGCGGGCCCGCGGGGGGGCAAGACGAGGGGCGGGUCCGGCGGCGCAGCACGCGCUGAAGCUCUGCCUGCGCGAUUGCCCCCACCGAGCCGAGCUCUGCCGCGGAGCUCGGGGGGCACCGCGCACGCACGGGCCGGUGCACGCGGCGGCUUGCGGGCUUCGGGUCGGACGGAGGCGCGGGGAGGUCUGGGUCGGCCGGCUUCGAGAUCAGCGGUGCCGCCAAGCCUCCCUCCUCCUCGCACGUUCGCCGCGGAGGAGGGCCACGUCGAUCCGGCGAGCCUGCGCGGGCGUCGCUGUCCUGGCUGGCCGGUUCUUCUCAUAAUGUGUAAUGGUGCACCAUUAUUACCAUCUAAUGGUGUAAUUACACUAUUAACACCGCGUUUUGAAUGCGUUGGUAAUUUACACCAUUAAUGGUUGUAGAUGGUUACACCCAUUAAUGGUGGAAAACACCAUUACACCAUUAGUGGGUAAUGGUGUAAUUACACCAUAACGGUGCACGCGCCCGCGAGCGAGCUGCGGGUGAGCUCCGCCGGGCGCAGCCACGAGGAGCGAGAUGACGAUCCGACGGCGGCGCGCAGCUGCUGCCUGCUGUGGAAGAGGAUGCGGCGCGGGGCGGCCGGCGUCGUUAGAGGAGCGAGGGGAGGGAGAGGGCGAGUGCCGCGGAGACGGAGGCGAGGGAGGGUUUGUUACGCGUGGAGUCGUCGGGCUUGUGGCGCCGAAGAAGCAGACGCGGGCCGCAGCCGGUCUCGUUCUCUGCAGAGGCGGGUGCGUACUGGCUGGGUGGAGCCAGACUCGAACAGCCGGUCACUAGAGGGAAGAAGAGAAGAAGAAGAAGAAAAGAAGAGGGGAAAAAAAAAGGUGCUCCAGCAGAGAGGAAAGAAGAGAAGAAAAAGAAAAAGAGAAGAAAAAAAUGCUCCGCCUGGCCUUCGCUUUUUUUUUUUCCGCGGAAAAAAAAAAGAACGAGAGAACGGAAAAGAAGAGAGAAAGAGGAAAGAGAAAAGUAAUAAGGGUAUUUUGGUCAGUUUGCUGAAAAAGCGGACCGAAUUUGCAAAAACGAAAAAGUGGCCAUUUUGCCAAAAGCCCAAAAUAAGUGAAUUUUAUGCAAAUUGGCCAAAUUUAUAUUGGUCAUUCUGUAAAUAAUUUUUUUUAAUUAAAAAACUAAAGUUGCAGAACUGAUUUUAAAUUAAUGAUUAGAUAAGAGAGAAAGAGAGAAAUAGAGAGAGAGAGAAGAGAGAGAAAGAGAGAAAGAAAGAGAGAAAGUGAGAGAGAGAAGAGAGAAAAAGAGAGGGAGAGAGAGGAGAGGAGUAGCGCCAGAUGGGGGGAAGAGAGAGAGAGAGAGAGAGAGAGAGAGAGCUGUAGAAGAAUAGGGAAGAGAGAGAGAGCCAGUUGUAAGAAAAGUGUGAAAGCCCAAGAUUUCCAAACAUAUAAACAUGCAUUUUGAUUUUUCAAAAAUUUAUAUUUUUAUCUCUCAAGUUUCAAAAUUAAUGCACUUAACCCUCUUCUGCCAGACUUUUUUUUAAUUGUUUCAUCUAUUUCAUAUAAUUUAUACCAAAAAUUCUUUUAAAUAAUAAAAUAUAUUAAAACAUUUAUAUAAUAUAUAUAUUUAUAUAUUAUUAUUUAUUUAUUUUCUUAGAGCAAGUAUAUAAGAUCAAUUUGACUAUUUCUUUUUUCCAAUUAGCGGCAUAAUUUAAAAAUAUUUUUAAAUUUUAAGAAAAUAAAAUAUAAAAAUUUUAAAGUCAGUGGAUAUUUAUAAAUUUCUUUUUUAAUAUUUUAGCCAUUAUUAUUAUUAUAAGUUUCAAGAUUUAGGGCAUCGCCAAUCGCACCAUUCUAAGAAGCUCGAGUUAAGUCGCGGUCCAAAUUAAGCUAAUUCGUACCCAGGUGACGUUCUAAUUAAAAACGAGGAACGUUUCCGACCCGGUCUCGACCCCUAGCCCGACCCAGAACGUGACGCAGUGAUCUCACCGCGCGUGACUAUGCUUGGAAAGCAAGUCCUCCGCGCAGGAUCAAACGGACGGCCGAGAACCCCCGAGGAGAAGAUAUUUUUUGUCUCGCGCCAGAAACUUCCCCCGCACCCCUCGGGCCGCGUUGUGCUGCCGGAGAGAGAGAAGAGCGGACGAAAUUAAGGAAAGGGCUUGAAGUCUUUGACAGUGGUGGAGCCGGGGGCAGGCGGCAGCGGGUCAAGCGGGUGGAGGCUUGGGUCGUUGACGAUGGACACAGCGGCGGCAGCGGGUCGAGCGGCUCGGGCUGCGUUCGGCUUGGGCUUAGCCGGCGCCGAGCGGAAACGGCGGGGAUGCGGCAGCGGCGAUGGCUAACAGCGGGCUUGGGUGGCGGCGGCAGGGUACGUGGGCAGCGGCGGCAGACGUGGGGGACACGGCGGCGGCGACGGCGGACGUGGGGACGCGGCGGCAGCGGCGGCUCGCCUCUGUUAACUAUAUAUAUAUAUAUAUAUAUAUAUAUAUAUUAUAUAAUAUAUAUAUAUAUAUACUANNNNNNNNNNNNNNNNNNNNNNNNNCAUAUAAUCAAGUUUUUGAAACCCAAAAUUCAGCUAUAACCACCUGAGCCAACAAAGUGUACAGAAAGUAAAAUCUACCUGUCCUCUGACUUAAUAUUUGUAGUCUCUCCGCAACUUGCCCCUGCCAUUUUGAUAUCUUUUGCUGGUAAGUCUUAACCUGCAUCUUCUCACUGUAGACAUAACCAGCAAACAAAUAGAUUUAGAACUUCUCAAAAAGGGAAGAAAGCCCCAUAACCCUCUGAAUUUUGUGGGAUUGUAAUCGCUAUCUGAGUUCAAAAAGUCACAAAUUACUGAGAUGAACAAUCAAUUUGUCUUAGGGCUAUAUGGUAUUGGGCGAGGGGUAUCCACUGCCAUAGCAUCAAAAGGAAUUGGGACAGAAAUAGAUAGAGAUAUGCUCCUACAUUUUACGAUGGGAGCAUAGAAAUCAUAUCUUAACACUGGUAGAAAUAAACAGAAUAUGUUUUAACCAUAUUUCUUCACUGUACGCAACUCAUUCUAACUGCAGUUUCCUAAUAGUAUCUGAGUUUGGAUGACAAGAGUUCAGAUAGAAGUCUGACAUUGUUUUAUUGCCACACGGCAAUCAUGGGCGGAAAUUCAAAUUGUGCGAUAGACUAAGAUUAAUUGAUUGUUCAGAGAGCAAAUUCCAAAUUUUCUUUUAAGCAUCAAUUGGUGAUUUGUAAUUCGGCCAAAGUUCAAUGGCACAUUUCUUUUCAAACAUGAAUUGUAGAGUAAACUCUCCCAACACAAGAACAGCAAUUUAAGAAGGAUCGAUUGAUUGAUCAGAAGAUAAGAUUUACACGGAGGAGAGGGCGUCGGGGACUCGGACGGCCUUGGAUUCGAGCAUGACGCGGAGCGCGUUCUUGUAGUGCGCGACGGCGUCGUCGGCGAGGCCCCACUCCUCGGCGCGCACGGCCUUGUCGAUCUCCUCCUUGGCCAGCUCGAAGUACCCCUUCAACUUCAGCGCCGCCCUCUCGCCGACGACGUUGGAGGGCCCCGCGGCGGCGGCGGCGGCGGCGGCGGAGCUCUCCAUGGCGCGAUCGGAGCCGGGCGCGAGCGGAUUCGCGGCAGCGGCGGCGGAGAGGAGGGAGGAGAAGGAAUUGAAGAGAUCCUUGAUGUAGCUCAUGCGAGUACGGCAGAUCGGGUGGGAAAUUAGGGUUAGGGUUUGAUUAAUUCUUGAGGACCGAAGGAGAGGAAGGGAUGCGGUCGAAAGAAAUCAUGAGGAGAGAAAAUUAACGAAUCUGAAGGAAAUCGUCUACGCGGCCGAUCGAGGGCGCGUAGUUGAUUCGUUGCACAACUCGCACCUUCAAUAGAGAUUUUCUAUUUGCGAUAGAGUUUUUCUAUUUGCAAAUGCCGGGUGCGUUCACUCUUUGUCCAUCAGUCGCUUUCGAGCAACGCCAGGGGCACACCAAAAAGUAUGUCUAGAUUAUACACUCGAUCCGUUGGGCCUUUUUUUCAUUUAACCUCGCAAAAAAACAAAAAAGAAAAACCCUAAUGACCUUACCAAAUUUAUAUUUACUAAUUAAGAACCCACGCUUCACGAUAGACGAAAAAUUUACAAUAAAUAAAAAAUAAUAAAUAAUAAAAAAUUUAUUUGUGUAAAUUUUUGUAAUAUUAAAGAUUAAAUCAAGUCAAAGAACAUAAUAAAAUAGAUAUCCAUCCAUUAAUCACAAAAAUUCUAAAAGAUGCAUCAGCAAUAAACAGAAUAAUUUUAUUAUAUUAUCAGGGUUUGCUCUUGCUAUUGAUUCGGCCAUCAUCUUCUGUAAACCUAUGAAGUUAUCAUAGUAAAAAAUAUAUAUAAGUUUAAUUGAUAAAUAAUUAUAAAGAACUUAUUAAAUCGAUGCAGUUGUAGUGGAAUUACCUAAGACGCUUUCUGCUUGGCUGAACCACAUUAGAAGUGAAUAAAAAGAAGUAAAAUGCAGGCUAUUUAUUAGUAUAACUAAGUAGACUUAAAAGGACCAGAAAUUAAAAAGUUCAUGUUUUCCGGGUACUCGCAAGUACCCAGUUAAUUACCCCCUCUCGCUAUAUUCAGGCGACCUCCGAUUAAACUGAUCAUAAUAAAAAAAAAAUACUCUCUUUUAAGUAAUAAUAUUUAUUUUUUUUUGAUUAAAUAAUAAUAAUAAUAAUAAUGUUAACAGAAAGUAGGUUAUAAUAAGUACAAUAGAAUUGAUGAUAAUCUUAUAUUACCAUGAUAAUAUUUUAAAGAGAAACUCUUUUUUUUUUUUUGGUUACGCAAAAAUAUUUAGUAAUUUUCGACUUAAAAAAAGGAUAAGCAAAUGCAUACAUUAAAUAAUUCACAACACUUAAUCACUCAUGCCUUUCCUUUUUUUUUUCUUUUUUUUCUUUUUUUUUUUUUUACGGAACAGCUAAAUGAUGCUCAUAUAAAUGACAUCUAAUUUCCAAAAUAAUCAGUUAUUAUGUAGGAAGGACAGGAAAAGUAAGCAAAAUCAAAUAAAAUAAAAUAAUUUCAAUUUGCAGAUAAGUCCUUCUUUCUUUCUUUUUUUUAGAGUAGUACGAUAGUUCUAUUAGUAAAGGGAAACUAUAAAGUACAUUUUAUUUUAAGCCUAACAAAGAAAUCACCCCCUUUUAUUUUUUUGUUUGCUUGGCUUCGAAGCAAUGGAGUGGCAGCUGUUUAGGUGAUUUAAGUCGGCAACAGCAGCUUGGGCAACUUAAGCUGCAAUGGCUUAGGUGACGUCGACGAUGGACACAACGGCUUGGGCGGUGGACACAGCGGUGGACCGACGAUGUUAACGGCUGUGCCCGCCGCCGACAUCACCCAACGCCACUGAAGCCGCCGUUGGCCCUUCGUCCACCAUCGUGCCAGCCGUUAACACCGUCGGUCCGCCGCUGUGUCUACCGCCCAAGCCUUUGUGUCCAUCGUCGACGUCACCUAAGCCAUUGCCGCUUCAGUUGCCCACGCUGCUGUUACCGACUUAAAUCACCUAAAUAGCCGCCACUCCAUUGCUUCGAAACCAAGCAAACAAAAAAAUAAAAGAGGGUGAUUUCUUUGUUAAGCUUAAAAUAAAAUGUACUUUAUAGUUUUCCUUUACUAAUGGAACUAUCGUACUAUUCUAAAAAAAAAAAAAAGGACUUAUCUGCAAGUUGAAAUUAUUUUAUUUUAUUUUAUUUUGCUUAUUUUUCCUGUCCUUCCUACAUAAUAACUGAUUAUCUUGCAAAUCAGAUGCCAUUUAUAUGAGCAUCAUUUAGCUGUUCCGUAAAAAUUAAAAAAAAAAAAGGAAAGGCAUGAGUGAUUAAGUGUUGUGAAUUAUUUAAUGUAUGCAUUUGCUUAUCAUUUUUUUAAGUCGAAAAUUGCUAAAUAUUUUUGCCUAACCAAAAACAAAAGAAAAAGAAAAGAGUUUCUCUUUGAGUAUUAUCAUGGUAAUAUAAGAUUAUCAUCAAUUCUGUUGUAUUUAUUAUAACCUACUUUUGUUAACAUUGUUAUUAUUAUUAUUAUUAUUUAAUCAAAAAAAAUAAAUAUUAUUACUUAAAAGAGAGUUUUUUUUUUUAUUAUGAUCAGUUUAAUCGGAGGUCGCCCGAAUAUAGCGAGAGGGGUAAAUUAAUCGGGUACUUGCGAGUUUCCGGAAAGCAGGAACUUUUUAAUUUCUGGUCCUUUUAAGUCUACUUAGACUAAUAAAUAGCCUGCAUUUUACUUCUUUUUAUUCACUUCUAAUGUGGUUCAGCCAAGCAGAAAGCGUCUUAGGUAAUUCCACUACAACUGUAUCGAUUUAAUAAGUUCUUUAUAAUUAUUUACCAAUUAAACUUAUUUAUUUUUUUUACUAUGUUAACUUCAUAGGUUUACAAAAGACGAUGGCUCAAUCAAUAGCAAGAGCAAACCCUGACAAUAUAAUAAAAUUAUUCUGUUUAUUGUUGAUGCAUCUUUUUGAAUUUUUGUGAUUAAUGGAUGCACAUCUAUUUUGUUAUAUUCUCAGACUUGACCUAAUCUUUAAUAUUACAAAAAUUUACACAAAUAGUUUUUUUUGUUGUUUUUUAUUUUUUUAUUUAUUGUGAAUUUUUCGCCCGCCGCAAAGCGCGGGUCCUUAACUAGUUAGACAUGAUUUUGUAAACCUAGCUACUAUUUAGCAAGCUCAUGACCACAAACGGCCCAAAAAUAAUUUUUUUUUCUUUACAAAAUUAUAUUUAUGUGUUAUUUUUAUCAGUUAGUUACAAAAAAAAAAAAAGCAAACGUGAUUGACCGAGUCCAAAGGUUUAAAUGCAAACGUUCAACACCGUACAAACAAUGGAGGUGAAGUAAAUCAAGGGGAAGGUCAUCGAUCAUAUCAUCGCCCUUCCUUCGUGCCUAGAUAUUCAUCGAUUCAAAAUAUUUUAUCAAUAAAAAAUUUAAAAAAUAUAUUAAAACUAAUCUACAGAUAACUUUUUUAUAAAUAAUUGAAUUUUGAGUUAACUCUUUAUUUUUUUUUUAAAAAAAUUCUAUUUUGUUUCUUUAAAAUUUAAAAUUGUGAUGUUUAACUUAGUAUUAUUAUAAUUUCGCCAUUAUUCUGUGCAUAAAUUGUGUGGUACAAUUGAACAAUCAGUAAUAUAUAUACUCAUUAAAUUCUUAGAAGUGGUAAUAAAAAAAAUUAAUUAAUAAAUAAUUGGAAAUCUCUUUCAUAAAGUUAUAUUAUUUAAGAGAAAAUAUAUAUAUAUUUUUGUGCAUUUCCAUAAUUUUUAAGGAUAUAAUAACUAUCUUUGGAAAUUUUUUGACUGUACCGUACAAUUAUAUGUAUGAAUUAGUGACGAAAUUAUAACGUGCAGAGUUAAGUGCUACUUCAAUUCUAAAUUUUAAGAUAAGAAAAUAUAAGCUUUGAAAUGACAGAGAAGGAAAAUAAAACAAACAAAUAUCUAUAGAAAAAGGAUUUCUAAGUUUUAGUUAAUAUAAAAUCUUCAUGUUUUUUAAAGGAGUUCAAUUACUCCACUGAACAUCAGGAUACCAAUUUCAAAAAUGUAUUGUAAUACCCUUUUAAGUAAACUUUAGCUGCAACUUUUCCUAAGUCAAGACAUGUCUGAUCGACAAGAGAAAGUAUAAAAUGUGAUAGUCACAUAGCUAAUGUGGCGUCUCUAACCAAUUAUAUUUUGGUUCACCAAUCUCACCAUAAUAUAUAAAAGUUUUUUUUUUUUGUACUUUAAGAGUUGUGAUUGACUGAAUAAAUAUGAUGUGGUGUAGGUGUUGACUGAUGUUACUUAUCGGUGUAGUGAAAAGACUAAUUUUAACAGCAUUCUGCUCUUACCAACAGGCAAUAGAUGAGGAGGUCUUCACCUAUUUUCAUCUAUAUCUGCUUAGCAGCCCACUACAGUUCAAUCAUUCCUUACCUGGGGCUAUCUAAUACACUCAUACUAACUAGCAUCCGAGAAAUACAAUGGCUCUAAAAAAGAUUGCAGCAGACUGGCAUCUCUCAUAAUAUUGAAAUUAUUUUGCGAACUAAUUCACAGGCUAAAAGUCACCAGAAAUUAAGAACAAAUUUUUUAUACACUUGGUUUAUACCCCUCACCCUCUUCCUCUCUUUACCCUCUUUCCUCUCCAAAACCAGCCGACUCUCACUGCUGCAGCUGUUAUUUUCGUCCUUUGCACAGUACGAACGACAAAAUAGCGGCGCAAAAGAACUCUUGCGCCGUUCCCAAAUCCCGAGUUUUCGAAUCCUGCCCCUCCCAUUCGAAACCCUAGCUCCUUCGAUCAGGGAGAAGGGUUGGUGGCCACGGCGCUCUACCUCCUCUUUGAUGUAAUAACUGAGAUUUUUGAUUUAUUGAUUAAACCCUUUUGUUUGACGAUGUUCUUGUGUGUAAUAUAAUUAUAAGUGUACUCGUCAAAUUUCAGGAGAAAACGAGUUAAAACGGAGAAGUUACGCGACCCGGAAGUCUGACUUAAGUGAAUAGUAACUCCGGUUUUCCGGAGAGGCCGCGGAGUAGAGUGGACUUUCGACGCGUAUCGGACUCCGAAUAUAGCCUUCUAAUAGCUCGUUUUCAACUGCUCGACUAUCCUGGACCCAAUGGCACUGACGGAAUUGGAUUUGGAUGCACGGAUUUCGAGAAAAAGGGGUUUAAUGGUUUUUGCAUAUACGAUCGUACAUUGCGUGGUUUUGCGUGGAACCUUGAGGGAUGGUUUUGUCGCAAAUGGAAACCUUUUCGGUGAAAAAAUGCUAAUUCGAUGCGCUAUGUAUGACUGAUGCGCUGGUGCGAGCGAUAGGAACAUCCGAAGGAGCGGGAUUUCGGGAAUCCAGAAAAAUCGCGAAGGGGACUGAUUUGGAAAUGGUCAUUCCCGAAAAGGCCUAUAAUUUUAUGGCAAUCGAAUUGAGAGUUUUUCGAACAUCAGAGUGGACAUCAGGCAUUGUGGACUUGAUGGUAAUGAUAGCUGGAUAAUGCUGAUUCGCUUUCGAGGGGCGUUUUCGCAAGUAUUUCCAUAUCUUUAUAUAAGGUGAUCUUAGGUUUUUGACCAAAACUAACAGCUAGAACACCCAGCUCACCUGGCACCCAGGCCCGUACCCCCCUUCGCGGACCCUCCCGCAGUGUCGUUCGCCGAUGUCCGCAGCACCCCGGCGCCGGAACAGGCCUGCAGGCCACGAUUUUCAUCCUUCUCUGAACCACUCACCACUGCUUAAGCUUUGUGCCUGAGAGGCAUGUUAGCCCGAUGACACCUUCCUCUCGGUCUCGACGGCACGCACUCACCUCACUGCCCAGACCUCCCCCGUCGCCGCUCGCGCGGCAGCCCAACCCGAGAGGAUAUAAGUGUGGCGGCCCGGAUCUCCGCGCGGCGCCGGUCAGGGAGGCCGUGAGUUUCGCGAUGCUGAGCGGGUCGCGCAAACCCGGCGUGACUGCCCGUACCGGCCAGACUCCCCGGACUCCCGACAGCUGCCCAUCCCGACCGGGAGUGCCGCCUUUUCCGAUAGUGCGGCCCUAGAUCGACAGUCGGUGAGUAGUUAUAAUUUUGUUGCCAGCAGCUGGCUGGUUUUGCAUUACGGUAACCUUUCGUGAAACGAUGGAUCCUGGCCUGGAGGUGAGCAGGUGAUUGUGGGACGUGUGCUGAACGUAUGUCUCAACCUCCAUUUAGGCCUAACGUCCCUGGUUAGUAAGAAUAAGGCUGUUAUUCCACAGUGUGCCAUUGAUACGCUGAGGUUCGAGUCGUCGAUGCGCCGCGUGGUUCUGCGAGUGCUCCGAAAGGUGACACGGCUCAGCAUGCUGAAACCUGGAGCAAGUGCGAUGGCAACCUCGUAGAGUACUGUUUGUUGUAGGACCGUUAGAGCAUGAAAUCACAUAAAUAUUCGUUCCUGGGCCAUUAGAGGAAUGCUUUUUGCGUUUCGCUUGUCAUGCUGUUUGGCAGGAGGUUACAGUUAAGAUAACCUUGGAAUGAUCGUCAGGCCCAAGCCCGUUGCGGAAAUCUAACGUCAUUUCGGACGUUUUUCAGGGAAAUACCCGAUAGAUACGCGUGUUCGACCUCGGAAUUCAUUCGCGGUGCUCGUGGUUUGAUUAUUGAGGCGUCGCUAGACUUGUGGCUGUCACCCGUGUCGUCUGAGGGUUAGAAACGACGGCUGGCGAUGAUGGCAGUUCCGGAGUACGGUUUUCGGGACUUCACGCGUGGUUGCGGAAGUUGGUUGAGAAACCGAUUUUCCGAGGGUUAUUAUUUUGGGAUUUGUGUGAGAAAUGAUCGGUUAAUUAGUGUUAUUGUGGUUAGACUCUAACGCCGGUGGAUCGCUUCGUAGUCGGAUCGCUUCGCUAUCCGCUUCAGCGAGACCAGUUUACUUUAUCGGGGGUACUUUUCGAUCGAGUCGAUAAGUGGUGCAUGCUCGGUGAUGUCUCAUUUACUAUCUUUGUACAUCGUCUAGUCAUAGUUGCUUAUCAUCUUAAAUACAUAUUGAGCCUUGCAACCAUACACUGUCUUUAUUACUUGGGCCGGUUUUGCCUAUGCUAGUAUUCUGUUAAGAGAGGUAGAGUAGAUGGCAUUAAGUAUAUAUACAUAUUAAUGUACCUGAUUGGUCGUUCCCUGUUGGCAUCGGACUCUGGUUGUCGUUCGUUACUUGUUACGUACAUUGACCUAUCUACGGUGUUAGUUGUACUUGAUGAACCUAUACGCGUUAAUGCGAGGGGCAGUGAUUGGGCUGUUGCGACGGUGCUGAUUGAGCAUAUCAGAUCGAUCGUCCACUCGUUUGCAUUUCUCACGAAACGACAGGGUCUGAUUCACCGCAGGCGUGUCUUUCCGGAAAAGUGGUUUGGCUUGCCCCCCAUCUGAGCUCGAGGUUACGACUGGAUAUGCAGGUUGAAGUGAGUUGGCUUAACUGAGUUCUGACAACAGGCAGGUUUAGAUUGGGUAUCUUUUGACUAUGACAUUGAUGCAUACAUAAAGUAGCGUAGUUCUUAGCUUGUACAUUAGUUAUUACUUGUACUUUCUGUUCUGUAUCAAUUAGCUUAUGUAGUUGUUUACUUAUGUAUUGGUUGAGCCUCAUGUGGUGGGCGUACCCUCGCCUGUCGUUUCGUAACCACUGGGGGAGACAUUUACAUGUUCUCACCCCACGCCAUUACAGGUGCGUCGAGUCCAGAGUGGCGCAGGUAGAGGAGGCGGUAGUGGCGUAUAGAGCUCGUAACGCCGUUUGUUAUCUCUUUAUCCUCUUGCUUGACUAAAUAGUCAAUUUUAUAUGGUUCAGAUUUAUUCUGUACUUGGUAAUUGGUUUUCGCAUGGCUUUACACUAUUGUGAUAAAAAAAAGGUUAUGGGCUUUUCACGUAAAAUGGUUUUCUACUCGUGUAGCGCUUAUUUAAAAGAAGGUUUUCGUAUUCGAUACAGUUUUAAUGUUUCUACCCCUCGUGAGUGUUUUUAAAAAUACAGGUUUCCGUGUGGGAAACAGUCUUAAAAGAAGCUUCCAAUGGAUUUCUGAGACUUAGUAUUUCAAAACUUUUUCCGGGUAGGAAACGUUUCAAAUGAUAGAUCUGGAUUUAUGUUUAAAACUAUGAAUACCGUCGUGUUAUGAAUGGUGAAUGUAUGGACGUCUGUAUGUGCGGUUGAGGUUGUAUGUUCAUAUGGUUGUGGUUGUAUUCUGGUUGUACUCUGGUUGUAUAAUUGUACUUGUGCGACGCCGUGCAAAUACAGGGGAGACUCUGUCCGUGUGAACAGUGGAUUCCCUGUAUUUGUGGCGGAUCUGACAUACUCUGGGGUCAGGUGUUUCAAAAAAAAAAAUUUAGUCGUUUCCGCUGUUUUUCCAAACUAAAAAGGGACCCCGGGGCGUGACCUUUGUGUCGGCACCGGGGUAUUCUCUCUUCGAGGCGUACGGCCUCGACGAGAUCGGCCAAAACACCUAAGCCGUGCGCACUUCGUCCUCGACUUCACGCACUUCAGCAAGUCAUCAAAUUCGUCAGCUUCUAUAGAAUCGCUUUUUUGUAGACAUCUCCUCCUUCGACCAAAUUAAGUUUGCAGCGCUGCAGAAGUCGGCGCCGAGAUCUGCAUGAGGCGGCUGUUGUCGGUGCUGUGUCUGAGGCGGACGCCAACUUCUGCUUCUUCUCCUCCUUCUUCUUCUUCUCCUCCUUCUUCUUCUUCGGGACAUCAUCGCCCUGUACCCAUCUCUUUCCCUCUCCCCAUUUUUUCCCUUCUCUUCGCAUUCGAAACUCUUAAUUAAUUAUUAAUCAUUAUUAUUAUUAUGAAUUUUUUCUAUAUUUUUUGGACGGCGGGCUUCACAGGAUCGUCGGGAUCCGAUCAGGGGAUGGUUGUACUCUUGCGAUCUCCGGGAUUCGCGUACGGCGCGACGGGAUUGGCGGUGCAGUGAAGGAAAAAGGGCGAUCCCUCUUUCGUUUCUUCUUUCUCCCUUUAUUUUAUUUUAUUUUAUUACUAUUAUUAUUUGAGAUCGGGGAAGAGAGAGAGAGAAGGAGAGAGAAAGAGAGAGAGAGAGAGAGAGAGAGGCAUCGGAGUAGCACAGUACAGGGGAUUGGGGAGGAGCGAAGGCGCUAAGAAGAGGGGACCCACGGGUCAGAUGGAUGAGAGAGGGGAAAAAAAAUUAUUGGGGCCCACAUCCAAAAUCAAGGGGAAGCUGCAAAACGGUUAAGGGUUCGCCCUUUAAUGUUAUUGUAUAGAUACUAGUGCAGUGACCCUCACGAUGCAGCGGGUAAGUAAUAUUCGAUAUUUAACUUAUAAUUGUUGAUUAUCUUCGUUACAAGAUAAAUAACAUAUCAUACUUGCAACAUAGAGAACAAAAAAAGAGUAAAAAAAAUAGAACUAUAAGAGAAUAAAAUUUGAUGCAUAGUUAAACUGAAUAAAUAUUUGAGAUCUUACAAAAAAAAAAGGCUAAAGAAAAACGAAAUAGUAAAUACAUAAGAAGAAUUAAAAAAUUUUGAGUAACAAACAAAUAAAAGCAUAAGCAGUUAAUCAACAACAGCAUGAGGGACCAUAAAUACAAUAAAACUGAGAGUUGUAGAAGUCGAGGAAAGAGUGCAAGAGUUGGCUGUAAGAAAAGGCAAUAGUCAGUAAAGAAUUAAAGAAAGAAUGAAAUAGGACUAAUAGGAAAAGUCGAUUAAAAAAUAUUACUAACUAGCUGUCCCAAAAAUAUGCGAUUGCAGUAGUACAAAAAUCAAAUGUAGCAGCAACUUACAAAAUUAAUUAGAAUACAUAAGUUGCAAAACUUAUAGUCAAAUAAUUUUAAACAAGAAUAGUAAGAAAACACCAUCACAACAAUCGAAAAAAAUAAUAUACAUAACACACUGGUUGUAAUUAUUUCGCAAUUGUCAUCCUGGUUAAUUUACUGUGUAAAAUAUGAUUUAAGCCGAUAGAUAAGUUAAACUGACAAAUAGGGCUGACACAAAUCCCAUACAAAUCCAUAAUUAAGCAAAAUAGUUAAACUGACAGGUAUUUCGCACAAAAGCCCAAAUAUAAAGAAAUUCUGACAUGUCGACAAAAGGAAAUGGAAUUUAAUUAGAAAGUAUACCUGCCCAAAUUAAGAAAAUACCUCCACGUGGACUAAAACAAACCUGAUUUCGUCAGAAAUUAUAUGUAAAUAAAUGGAAGGUAAUUAAAAAUAUUUGGUAUACAUAAGAAGGAAAGAAUGAAUUAGAACUAAUAGUAAAACUGUAAUAUCUUUUUCCAACCCACAUAUAUAGUAGAUGAAACAAUAGUAGCAAAAGAUCAAGUGAAGUAGCAACUUCGAAAAUUGAUUAUAAAAGUAAAAAAAAACAUCAUCACAACAAUCGAAAAGAUAUAAAGUGAAAUAAAAUGAAGGAGCAGCUCCUAAGGUUAAGUAGAAGCUAGAGAAAUAUCAGCAAGAACUUGUAGUAAGAAACGAUACAGAAAAAAAGGGAAAAAAAAGGCAAACACAAACUAAUGAUAAAAUAUACAUCAUAAGGAGCAUAAGCAGUAGUAGUAGAAAUUUGAGUAAAUCGAAAAAGAUCAACAGGUCAUAAAAUUCUAUUUUUACUAUAGGCUCAGACAUGUAAUGAGUAUUAUCAAUAGUCAACAAUAGUAUUUUUUUCAUUUCAAAAGUCUUCGAGAAAAGGUGCUGCGUAUAGUUAUAUAUGUUCUCAAUAGCUUAUGUAUCUCUUGAUGGGGGUAAUCACUGGUUGCAAUUAUUUAAUAACUGCCAUCCUAGUUGAUACUCAACCGGCAGAGAAAUAGAGUUUUUUUUGCCGCAAAUAAAAUUUUUUACGAAGGCAUAUUAUAUGGGCAACAAGAAGGGACCGCAGAUAAUGAAUACGAACCAUUUUCGUGACUGGAGGGGAUGAAUAAGCCGAAACGAAACGUCCCUUAGGGGAAUGGCGCGACGAGACCCCUUCUGUUUGAUCUACAAUGAACUGUCAGACCCUUUUGAUCUAAAUUUGUCAACCUAUUAACUUACAAGUAAUAAUACUUCUAUACUAAGAUAUACUUUAUUGUACAUAAAUACUCACAGCCAAAAUACAGAACAAAAAAAAAGUAAAAAAAUACUAAAAUAAGUGUUGGAACUAUUUACUAUCGUCCAAUCCAUGCAUUGCUAAUAUUUUUAGAGCUAUCUAAUUCUGCAACCAUCACAAUUAGCAAGAUAUAACAUCAAAACAACUCAGUAUUAAACCUUACACCGGAUCAAAACAUAGAGGAGGAACAUCAAACUCACCUUGAUGAGGAUCGUAUCGCCACAGAAAAGCUAGAGCUUCUCUAUGGUCUCCGGAUUCAUUGAAACGGCAGAGUUGUCGUCGUUCGUCGCCUCAUCCACAACCAACCUAUUCGCCGCCUUCUUGCACUCUAGGAUCGCGGUGCUAUAAUCCCUCUUCGUACCCUUGCUGCAAGAUUUUUCCCGAUCAAAAAUAGAUCAACAUUAGAACCCUAACCCUAAAUCCCCACUCGAUCAACACACAAUUUAGUAGAAAAUAGGGGAAACUUAUGGAUUGGAGGAGGAAGAAGCCUCGUCCUUGUUCGCCAUUGCUGAUGAGCACAGGAGCUGAGAAGAGAACGGGAUCGAAAAGAAAGGAGACGAAAAGCUUUGUGAGAGAUCGACGGGGAGGAUGAGGGUAUUUAUAAGCGCUAUGCUUUGUUACUUCGGGCUUGGGUUUAGCAUUCCAGAGAGGGAACAGGAGUCGGAGCAGCAUCGAGGGGGCGAACGAAACGAAGCGUCGCUAACGGGAACGGGCGGAACGGGAAGAAAGCCUGACCAUGAACUCGGCCCAACAUUCCGUCCAGAGAGGGAACAGGAGUCGGAGCGGCAUCUAGAGGGGCGAGCGAAGGAGCCGAAGCGGAACAUCGGGUGGAAGACGAAGCAGAGUAAGGAGGAAAAUUAAAUAGGAAGCGGUGUAGGGAGGAAAAAAAAUUUGGUCGGGUGGGCCCCACCCACUAAUUAAUUAAUAGAAUAACUUAAGAUGACAGGUAGGGCCCACAAAAAUUAAGUUAAGCUAAUACUGCCACGUGGACGUAGAGAACGGGCUUUCAUAAGGGUUAUAGAUAUAAAACUUUUUUUCUUACUACGCGAGCGUCACGUAGGCAAUUUUAAGUUGAACAUGAUAAUUUAAUCACCGUGUUUAAACACCGUAAUUAACUCACCGUAUUCAUAUUCACACUCUAAUCCCUUUUUUUAACUUAGCAACGGUUGGUGCCAAUACAAUAGCUCCACAUGGUAAAACAGUGCACAGUAUAGCUAGAAACUACAAAGCUAGAGAUAAAUGACAUUUGGUACACCGGGAGCAAAGAAUAAAUUAUAUCAAACCAUAGGUAGUUUGAGCGGUUGAGAUCGGCUUUUGGUGGCCCACGAAAUUAGGGAAGUGGCCGAUCAUGUAAAUAACUGAAUAACAAUGAGCGGAGUAUAAAUAAGCGGGUAACGCCUGGAAGAGUGGUCUUUUCCCUGCGAUCAGAAGACCACUUUUCAAUUGUACGCAUUUUCUUAGCUUUUCUUAGGAGUAGUUUACUUAUAAUCUUUUCUUUCUCCCCUACAUUUGCCGCUUUUCUUAGGAGUAGUGUUAUUUCUUGGGAGUAGUGUUAAGGUAGAUUUUCUUAAGCCACACCGGCAUCUUUUUGUACUUGUUUCGAAUUUCAAGCUAAUAUAUAUAAAAUGGCAUUUAGCUAUUUAGCCGACCCAAAGAUAUUGCGCAAUUCCUAAUUCGGCUUAUUCAGCCGAAUCGACUCUAUAGUAGGAGAUUUCAAACUUGACUGAUCCGAUCCCUCAUCAGCCGAAUCGCUUAAUCUGUCGAAAAGGCACAAACUUCGAGGGUCAUCACAUGUCGCCGUUUCACAUCCCUGCAUGCUUCUCUAGGGAAAUUCUUGACCGGGUGAAGGGGUACGAAAUUCGACUCGCAGCAAUUUUUGGCACGCCCGGUGGGACAUCGUCUAGGUAAAUUUGUAUUUUCUUUAUUACAAACUAAUGGCUGACAAUAAUACCAUGAAUUUCCGCAAUAGAAUCGUUCAACGCAAUUUUGGGAACGACAGCCAGUAAUACCGAGAAUGUGGUCGAGCGUCAUGCAGUCUUGUCAGUCGAAGGUGAGACUAGCGGUCAAUCAGACCAGCAAGAGCCAAGUGUGGCUCAGGCGCUCGAAAAGAUGACACUGGUUUUACUAGUUUUAGACCAAAAUAGUCACAUGAGUAUCGCUCGGUUAGAUGCAGUUUUAGCCGUUAUCACGACUUCCAAUGACAACAUUGCUCAAAUUGGGCAAUUAUUAACACGAAAUGAACAACCGAUAGUAGGUUUAUAAGGACCUGUAGAUACACCGGUGUUACAAAAUUUCGUGACACCGACAAACACUCAGCCUCAGGGGGCACCUUUCCAAGCUGCCUAUAGACCGGCUACUUUAAAUGUCGGUCAACAAUCUAAAGUGGCAUGGGGAUUACCUCCUCCACUAUCGUUACCGGCUUACCAACCCCAAAAUAUGGGAAUUAGAGCUACAGGGGCAAGCUGUAACAUACCGAACUUCUACAAUCAUAAAGUUUUGGUGGGAACCAGCUUAAAAAACUAUUAAAGUAGUUCCAGCGUAGUUUGGAGAGCAUUCGAGUAUUCUCGGCACAAACUGGAAAAUCGACAACCAAACCUACGGAGGGUCCACCGGGUUAGUACCUAACCCACAUAUAAAAACACUAAACUCACAACCCCACACAUGAUCCUUUGGGAAUCGGUUUUUCAAAAUCGAUUACCGUAAUUAGCCGAAAGUCUCGAAAAUCGCACCGAGACUCUGCUAGGUCCCACGAAGUGUCCGAGACUCACCGACUCAUGCCAUGAGUCACCCGCUGCCACAAAACACUGUAAUAAAGGUGUCUUGGCAGCAAACACGAAGUCUCACAUUGAAACGAUUAUCGUCGGAUAAUCAUUCCGAUCCGGGUUCUCGAAAGUGUCGUUUUCGACACUGGAAGCCACCGUCGCUCACCCGUAGUCUCCGAACCCCCAAAACGACAUUAGUGACCAGACAACAAGGCUCAGUGACAAAAAGUAACUCACUCUAGCACUGUCGGACGAAAUCCGAACUGAAACCGCGUUCCGUCGGCGAAUUUUGCCAAAAAACGCAUCGAAAAUCAAUAUUUGAUUUCCGCGAAGGACCUUGGACCUUGGACUUUGGACAAUCAGUCCAGAGAUCACCGGCCACCUACACAUACUGCCCACAGUAGCCACGAAUUGCACAAUUGCCGAAAAGCCCUUACUAUUUCAUAAAAUCACAUUAUUUUAUGUGAUUUACUGGGUUUUAUGGGUCGUUAUAGCAAACCGAGGGCUUUUGAGGUCGACCGAGACAUGUAAUGAUAGGUCUCGACGUGCCGGAGGCCGUGCUCAUGAUUCGGAGCACAACCGUCCAUUGUGGAUAGCGCGGGAGCAACUCGAAAAUCUGUGAACUUCGCACAUUGUGCAUAAAUUGCGCUUAUCUCACAAAUCAGGGGCUUGCUGACCUCAAAGAAGGUGAUCACAAUGGUCAACACUAAUCCAAGAUCAUCGUGCUCACAUCCAAAAGCAUCAGGGUGCCCUCGGAUUGCCAGAACAGUGAUCGCAAACCAAAACAGUGCACAAACAGCUUAAUAAAAGCUUACCGGGCCUAACCAGUGCGGGCGCGCCGGCGGUAGGUGAGUGCGGCAGGUGGGGGAGGGUCGCCGCUAGCGCUGGCUGACGGCGGGAGGUAGUGGCGGCGGCGCUGGGGUAAUGUAACAUACCGAACUUCUAAAGUUAUGAAGUUGCGGUGUAUGUUGGCUUGGAAGAGUUAAAAAUGAGUUCUAAAAGAGUUAGAAGGGUUUUGGCAUCGAUCGGCGCGAAAUAGAGUCGAAACAGAGCCAAAAACCAAGUCUGGGCAAAGUGUACCGGUACAACCAUUGAGUUGUAACCGGUACAGCAAAGUGUACCGGUACAGCAUUGAAAGUGUACCGGUGCAAAUGCUAUGAAACCGAGAAACUGCUCUCGGGUUUGCUUCUGCAUAAUCGUGUUAUCGGUGACACGGAAAAGUGUAUCGGUACACUUUGGGCUGACAGCACAGAUUUAGUCUGUUGCAAAAUAGAAUGUUUUGGGGGCUUAGUUGCAAUUAUUGCACACCAUAUUAGACCCCAAAUACCCUCCCUCUUCACAGCAGCCAUCUCCCUCCCUCUCUCGUGUCUCUCUCUCUCCCUCAACCGUGAGCAAGGGAAGGAAAGGAGAAAGAAGAAAAGAGAAGGAAAGGAAGGAGAAGAAGAAGAAAGAGAAGGGUUUAGAGGCUUUGAAGCUCUCCUACAAGGUAUAGCUUGGGAUUGCUCUUGGGCUAAGGUGAGUUUUUGCAAGAACAUUUCUAGGGUUUGGAUUUCUACCAUAAUACUUAGAGUUUUGGAGCUUCUUACAUGCUUAGAAGCCUCUUGAGACCUUAAAACCAUGAAAUCCAUGGUUUUCUUCAAAGUGCUCUAAUGGUGAAGCUCUAGGGUUGGCUCUAAACACCCUAAGAAUGGUUCGAAUUAUUCUAAAUGAGUUUCUAGAUAUUGAACAAGCUCUCUUUUGCUUGUUCUAGAUAUCAAAACCUAGGAUUUAGUAAAGGGCUUGGUUAGGGCACCAAAUUUGGAGCUUUUGCCCUAGAAUGUUUCUAAGGCAAAUUGGCCUUGUAGAAACCUAAUUGGGGGUAUAACGAACGCGUUGGUGCGCUCGGUUCGACAAUUCGAUGAGUAUACGCAAAGUUAUUGACAAAAUAGCAUUUUGUCAUACAGAUAGCCGCAACAUGCGGAAUAGACGUCUAAAAAUCAUGAGAUCGGAUCUGGAGCAUCGUGGUAUCAAGGAAUAAACUCCAGAAUGGACGGAUCGCGGAUUGGUGGCCGUUCAGGUGGUCGCGCGAGAGUUCGGGCCGAACUGGGUCACGGGUGCCGCGGGAGGCCGAUUGCAAGUGACUACAAGCAACCGGAACGUGUUUUGAGGUGGGUUGUGUUUACCGAAACGAUUAGGUCGCCUGUAUGUCUAAGACUAGUGCUUACUAUUGAUGCAUGUAAUGGUAGCUAGUGGUAAAACACAUCAAUGCAUAAGGUGAAAUGCUAUGUUAGGCUACCAAAUAAUGCAUAUGGUCAUAAUGUGAGAAUGCUAAGUAAUGCAUAAUGACAUAGUGUAGAUAAUGCUAAGUGGAAAGCAUAAAGUAAAUGACAUAUGUUAGUCAUGUUGCAUGUAUAGAAAUGCUAAUGUAAGAAUACUAAGUGAAUGAAUAUUGACAUGAAAUAAGAUUGCUAAAGAAAAUAUAUGAUAAGCAUGUUAUUGGGAUGCUAAUGCGGAAUACUAAGUAAAGGACAUAUGUAUACAUAUAUAGAUCGAGUGGCACCGAACCUAGUGUCAAGGACAUAGGUUGAACAAGAGUAAUAUUGAACCUAGUGUUAAUAAACAUAGGUUGAACAAGUGUGGCAUAUAACCUAGCGUCAUGAACCUAGGAUGGAUAAGAGUGAACGUGAACCUAGUGUUAAUGAAUAUAGGUUAAACAAGAAUGGCAUUAAACCUAAUGUUAGAGAACAUAGGUUGAGAAUGAACCUAGAGUCAAGUCAACCUAGGUUAUGAGUUAAAGAUAUUGAACCUAGAGUUAAAGUAAACCUAGGUUAUGUGAUAAAAGUGUUAGCCUAGUGUCAAGUGGACCUAGGGUGGAAAGAACAUUGGACCUAGAUAGGUCGACACUAUAGGGUUAAGACCAACCCCCGAGCUAUGUGGAAUGGAUUCCGGAAUCCCAAAGUUAUGGAACACCCAAAGUGGUGUUGGGCGUGUGCGACGAUUUUGCCGUCCGGGGCCAACCAUUGACGUGGCGUGUGCGACGAUUUCGCCGCCGGAUGGUUAUGCCGAGUUGUGGAUUAUACCGCCGCUUGACUUGAGCCAUUGUUGUGGCGUAUGUGCGACGAUUUCGCCGCCGAGUGGCUCAGUCAUAGAGUGCGGCAAGUUGUGGUAGGCUGAGGUGCAUGUGAGAGUUCCUUCACCUCGAGCCGACAGAGCGCAGAUUAUCCGCAGUUGAUUGACUCAAGAUCGAGUCGGGUCGCAUAAAGGACUAAGGUAAGAGUAACCUUAGAAAAGAAUGGCCGAUGAGUAAAUUGUAGCUAAAGAAUAAAGAAUAGCUAAAGAAUAAAGAAUAGCUAAGAAUAAAGAAAGAGUUGCAAGUAAUAAAGAAUGGCUAGCAAUAAAGAAUGAAAACGAUAGAAAGUAAAAUCAUUUAUUCUACUUGCAUAGUUGCAUAGUUUCAUAUUGCAUAUCGCGAGGCAUGACAUGUAGUUCAAUAUCGAGUAAAUGUAUAAAUAUCUGUUUUAUAUUAUUGGACUAACCUGAUGCAGUGCCUCAUUAGAUCUAUUGGUUGAACUUUUCCUUUGGGUGGCCGUACUCACUGGGAACCAUGGAGUUGGUUCUCACCCCACGUUGUUUUGGGGUGUUUCAGGUUCGCACGUGAGCGGCGCGGCAGCGCGAGGCAAGGGCGUAGCUCCGUAGAUAGCGCCCUACCCAGAGACCAGAGGUAGCAGUACCCCAAGGUGGUCUAGCUUAGGGGUUUAAAGGACAAAGAAUCAAGUUGUAAUAAAUUGUAUUGACUAGAUUGUAUUUUGGAAGUUGAAUGUAAAAGAAAUCUGUGAUGUAAAAUAUAUGUAAGGUGAAUGCUUGUAAUAGCAAGCAGUUUUAUGUUUUUGAUACUUCCUUAUACAAUCCUUGAUUGAAAUGUGUUCCUGGUUGGAACUUCGUACAUUGUAUGGAUUGCGACGCCUAGGACGUAGAGGGAAAACUCUGUCCGUUCGGCGGUCUGUUUGCGUGCCCGAACCCGACCAAAUAGGUGGGGCACGGGGCGUGAUAGGUAACCUGCACCCACACUGGUUAGGCUCGGGUUCAGGAGGUCGCGGCGGCCACGAAGGUGGCUGGGGAGCUCCGUGGCGAUGACGGUGGGUUGCCAGAGGUCAGAGAAGGGCAAGCCAGGUGGCCCUGAGCAGCAACGGUGCGAGGGGAAGAAGAUAGCUCAGCCUCGACCCGGUGCUGCCCAGUUUGACCAGAGCUUGCCAAGAUGGCAACGGCGGCACUCGGGGACGGCGGCGACCGACUGGGGAGGUCGUUAGGGGUCGGGGUGGCUGUCAGAGGAGGAGCCUGAGCGUGUGAGGCCUCCAUGGUAGAAACUCGGGCAGAGAAAGGUGAAGGUAGUGAUGAAGAUGAUGGAGGAGAGGGAGAAAGGCUGAUUUCAGCGACCGACGGCCUGCGUAGGUGGCCGGGGCGCCUACGGCUAGGGCAGGGGGAAGAGAGGGAGGCGGCUAGGGCUCAACUGAGGUUGCUAGGGGGCUAGGGUUAAGGUUUGCUUCAUGUAAACCCUAAUAGCCUAUAUACAAGGUGGUUUAAUUGUGCAUAAGUCCACUGAAACUCAGUAUUUGAUGCUGAGUCCCCCAUAGUGCGGGUAAAAUGCACGGAUAUACCUUCAUGUUCGAAAUCACGCAAAACGAUGCAUAAAAUAUAGGGUGUUUUGUGGAUUUUUUGUUUUGCCAAUUUCGACAUCUUUGCGAACAUUUUGAAUUUUUGGGAGAUCCGUCCGUCAGAUUUGCGAACGGACUAUGCUAGUGUGUUCAGAACAACCGGGGCAUCGAACUCACGAUUUUGUUUUGCUCGAAUUGAUCGCCGAUUUGUGACGAAAGCUAUACUCUCUCCAAUUUUCAAAAACCACACAUAUAUAUGUGUAAAUCAAAUAAACCCCAAAUUCAAAUUCGAAGUUGAAUUCCCUACCAUUGGUAGGUACCUAAAACAUCCUCCACCCUACUCCAAGACACACGCAUGGAGCACGAGAAGUUUUACAACGCAAGAACAACAAAGAACAAAAACCCUCUUUGCGAUAAAAUCCUUUUUUCUCGAAAAUCGUGCAUCAAAAUUCAAAUCCGUCAGUGUCAUUGUGUACAGGACAGUCGAACUAUUAAAAAGUGCUAUUGGAUCACUAUAAACGAAGUCCAAAACACAGCAAAAGCCAUCUCCACUCAUUGGCCUCUUCGGAAAAUCCGAGUUACUAUUUACUUUAAGUGAUUAGUAAAGGUUGCGUAACUUCUUCAUCCUAACUUGUUUUCUUCUGAAACUUGAUGAGUGCUUAUGUAAUUAAAUUACACAUAAAAAUAUCAUCAACAAAGAGUUUAGCUACACAGUCAAAUUCUCAGUCCUCACACACAAUCAUCCCAACUGUACAAUUCUUGAUCCAACAAUCGAAAAGACGGAAGCAUCAAAUCAUCUAUAUUUUCGGUAGCAUAGUAGCUCUACACACACACACACACACACACACACACACACAUAUUGGUUUUAUUAUUUGCUUUGGCUUGAUAUCUAAUUAAUUAGACUAGUGCAGGGCCCGCGCUUCGCUGCGGGUAGAUUGUAUUUCAAUCAAUUGACAUAUAUAGUAAUUAAACUUAUAAGAUUAAAAAAUGAUAACUAAAUAAAAACAUUAUCAAAUAGUGUUUCGUACUAUCAUGCCUCGAAGUCACAGCGGAAGCCUACGGGACGCUAACAGACCCGCCGAACGGACAGGGUCUCCUCUGUCCGAACGAAGCGGUAAGUCCCAGGUAAACAAGGAAAUAUAUAGCCAAAUACGACAAGCAAAUCAGUACCAAAAUCAACAAAACUACGAGAAAACUAACGAUAAGUAUCAUAGCACUAUACAUCAGCUGAACCACUAUACAGCAAGAAACAAGUAACAAAGAUACAUAAAUCCACACCGAAAACCAAGUACAAGUUAUUGGCCCUGGCCCAUGCCAAUCCAAAAGAAAGUAUAGUGGCUCAUUAUCGGGAGGUCUGUUAUAGGCAAGUAUGGUGGUAGGAAGGCUAACUAGGCGCAAUUCCCUUACCACGCUCAGCGGACGAUACACCUGUCACUGAAAAAGGAGACCACAAAAGGGCGUGAGAACUACUAAUAGCAGUUCCCAGUGGGUACGAUCGACGAUAACCAUGACCCUCCCACUAGGUCUAAAUAAGCAAAAGUAAAUGAAAGAGCGAUAACUAAGGAAAGAAUAGAGAGCAAAGCUGCAGCAUAGUGUAAAGUAAGGAUCCACAUGUAGAAAAGUAAACACUUGUAUUUAUAUUCCGUGACAUAGAAGUAGAGUGGUACUGACACUUGCAUUUAUAUUCAAGUUAACCUGAGUGGUCGGUGCCCAUGUACUUAUAAUGUAAUUAAUCUCACACUUUCCAAUUGACCAGAGUGGUCGGUUGCGUAUUCGAGAGGAUAUUGAGCUUGUCCAUCCUAGUUGACCUGAGUAGUCAGUACUUAUGUUCCCGUAUAGCUUCGAUGACCUGUUGGUGAGUGUGCCCCGAGUGAUGAUUGUCGGCUAUUCACCGACGGUUGACUAUUGAUCAUAUUCGCAUUGAUCAUCAUAGCUCGAGAACAUUUUACGAACACUAGCGAUCUGAUGCUCACAGGAAGGUGUUCUUUUCUAAAAAAGUGGUUCGUUGCCAACCCGUGAACCCAGCGGCCAUUGCUAGGGUUAUAUGCCAGACAAAGCAGUUGUGGCUUGCCUGAGGUUCUUGGAUCGACACGGCAGUAUAAAUUAGGUACAUUUGGACUUUUCAUGUCACGCCCCGGAUUACCACGUUUCCUCGGGCACGCCAACAGAUCCGUCGUAUAUAUAGAAAUUUUUCGUGUAUACGAAGUGAUAGCCGUACCUGUAAGCAAGUCAUAGCUACAACCAAGAGUAUAGAGCUGCUAGAACUAAAACAUACAUAUAUAGAACAAAAUGGGUUCACUGUACAUAUACAGGUCUACAACACCUCCUCGCUCCAGCGAGUAACACAACAACAACAACAACAGUAUGUACAAAAACUCAAAACUACCUCUGAUGGGUGCUCCUCUAGCAAACGACUAGGGAAGGGACGGCUCUAACUCGCGCCUUCCUUGCCUCGAUCAGAAUCCACAACAGUAGCAGCCGUAGACGAAGGCUUUGCAAAAAGGUACCAACAACUGGAUGUGAGAACUAUUAUAAAACAGAGUAGUUCUCAAUGGAUACCGUCACUGUAACACACUGGACCUUUGCAAAUUGCAAGGUUCGAGUGUUUGAUCUGUGUUCUGAGCUUUUUCACUUUUUCUGGAGGAUCGUAGACAGUGUUCCGACCUAUGGCUCACAUCCCGAGAAACGAGGGUUUUAACUUAGCCCUAAGGUCCCCAAAGAGAAGUACUUAGGCUGCUCUCGGGUUGAGUUCUGCAGGGUUGUGUACCGGUACACCUUAAUGGUUGUACCGGUAUAGAAGGUUAAUUUCAGCCAACCCGAGCCUGGGUUUGCGCGUAUAGGGUUUUGUACCGGUACACUUUUUCGUGUACCGGUACACAAUGUAGUUCACAGACUGCUUAUUUUUGGAGGGUGUUUUUGCAUUUGUUGCUUAUCUAUAAAGCAUCCCACGCCCCCUCUAGGUCUCCUUGUGUUGAGAACAGGAUAAAGCAAGGUAAGGGAGCCCUCCAACCCUUCUCUUUGAUUCCGUUGAUUUUGUUGGGAUUUUUGAAGUUUAAUUACUUCAUUUUGCUCCUUUUUGCUUCUCGGUGGUAUUUCCACAAUUGUUGAAGGCUUGGAGCUUGGAGUUGAGCUUGUUAGGGGAGAGAUCUUUAACCCUUGUGGAUUUUGAGCCUUGUUUGAAGCUUCUCUUGAGGUUAGUAACAUGAUUCUACUUUUAGAUUCAUGUUUUGAUGGUUUCUUUGAGAUGAAAUCCUAGAAUGGGAAUUUAGGGUUAAUUUUGGGGAUCUUGAUUAGAAGCUUUUGGAACUCAAUUGAUUAAGUUAGAACCUUUGUUUAGGUUGGAUUUGGAGAGAUCUUACUCUCAUUUGGGAUUUAAAAAGGGUUCUUUACACUAUAGGUGAGUUUUACCCCUUUUCUUGAGGUGUUUAAUGUUUAACUUAUAUGUUGUUCGUAACGUUCGUAUAACUCUCCUUUUAUUACCUUUAGGGUGCUAGGAGAAUUAUGGGCAACUUCGUUCGAUGAAACGAAAUGGUUGUAACGAGACUUGGUGGGUUUGGCCUCACCAAAAUGAGAUAAAUUUCUCAUUAGUUGUUUAUACUUGUCGUAAAAUAAAACUUUAUGCAUAUUCACGCUAGAUAGAAUAAUUGUGAAUUUUAGAAUGCUUUAAAUGCUCAUGUUAUGUACAAUGCAUAUUUGGAUCUCUAUAUAGUAGAGAGUAUUUAUGUUGGACUUAUGCAUAUGGAUAGCAUUCUUAUAUGUGAUUUGGGAAUAUGUUUCAUACGAUGAAUAUGACAAGUGCAUUAGACUCUUGGACUUGAACUCAUGCUUGGCAUAGGAGAAAACAUAAUGUCAUAAAGAGGCAUUGGGCUUGGAAUUGAUAUAGUAAGCUAAUGUCAUAAAGAGGCAUUGGGCUUGGAAUUGAUAUAGUAAACUAAUGUCAUAAAGAGUCAUUGGGCUUGGAAUACGUAUGGACUUAGUAAAUCUAAGGUCACAAGAGACAUUGAAAUUAAUGUGUGGUUGAAUCUUACUUUGGGACAUUGGACUAAACCUUUAGGGUGCUAGUCACUAUUGCCAUGUUAGAAACAGGAUGAUCGGAUUCUUGAGACGAUGAUCAUGCUUGCUUGCCAUUUGUGCUCAUUCGCACAUGCUUGUGAGGGCCGCUCCCUACAAGCCGGCACUCCGGAGUUAGCCUACGCGACUUAUGAUCGUUCGUGCGGUAUUGAGAAGCCUACGGGGCCGGGUGGGAUAGACUCAUUCUUCGAGUGGGAAUGCUGAGGCUACCACGAGCACUUAAGCGGCACAAGCCGGACUAUCUUGUGUAGAUACUUAAUUAAAAAUGAAAAUCGACACGUAGUCAUACAAGUAACAAUCACUACUAGACAGUUCAUAAUAGUUGGAUUUAUUGGGCUUUUGGACAUGUAGUAUACUUGAUAGUAUUGCUUUUGCAUUAUAGCAUACUUGUUUGCCAUGUUGGAGCAUGCUAGUCAUGUAUUGGUAUAUUGGACUAUGAUAGAAUAGAUGUACACCAUGUUGACAUUAUGUAUAUUUGUGGCAUUGUAGAUUAGCAUUUCAUUACAUGCUUUUCAUAUUUGGAGCUUACUAGUAGUUUCUUUUAUCUACUCAUGCUUUUUGGCCUAGUGGUGCAUUUUGCUCAGGUCAGUAAUUGUCCACUGAGAACUAUAAAUUAUAGUUCUCACGCCCCCUGUUUUAUAUUUUAUUUCAGAACCUCCCACUCCGGGAGAGGCUAGGGACCGCGGCAAGGGUGUCGCUUCGAGUUAGCGAGCGAGGGAUCUUGCUAGGUGGAUCAUUUUCUUCUUUUAUUUUCGUUGGAGAGAAUGAGAGCGUUUGUACCCUACAUAGAGACUACCAUUUUGGAUAUUGUAGUACUUGUAUUUAGGAUAGUUUGAUGUAUUCACUCUAUAUUUUAUCUUAGUUAUUAGUUUCCUUUCUCUCUACUUGUUGUUAGAAUUUAACUGCUACUUGCUCUGAUAUCUCUAGAUACUUAUUUAUUCUUAUCAUUUAUCGCUAUUGUUGUAGACGCCUUAUAUGUGCAGGCAUAUGGCGGGCCUGGGCAUGCUACCGGGAGGGCCUCUGUCUGUCCCAGGGCGUGACAGUCACCGACCUCAACGACUCACCUACUAAGUCUACAGUAUUGAUAUGCACAGGAUAGUAAGGAAAGCUGGAAAACUCUACAGCUACAUACAUCUAUACUAUCGCUAGACUGUAGACAUAAACAUGCAUCACCAGCUACCACUGACCUAAUCAUACGGGCUGCCCAAACGGACCCACCCCGCUUGUAACCAAGCUACACCGUACACCACCCACGGGGAUGGCCAGUUCAAGAAAAAGGUCCAAACAGAAUGGCUGCGACAUCAAUACAAGUCAAAGCCUCACUUCGGAGCGACACUUGUGGGCGCGACCUAACCGAGUAUGCAAGCGUGUCUCUGCCGAGCUCAAUCAGGCUUUCACAGGUUAUAGUCAAUGUAAAUGGGUCAAACUGGUCUAACAAUCAAAGCUCACGUGCCCUGGGCACAAUCUGCAAGAUACAGAAAUCUUGGACCAUCGUCAACCACGGUGGCAACCGACAAUACGGAACAAUCUAUACUCUACUGUAAAACGAGCUCAGCCCCUCAGCACGAGCGUAAACUCGCCCUAUACUAAUCUGAGUAUCCCGUACACACUAAUAGCAGGGAUAGAAAAGAACAACAACUCCUGAAGUUAAAUCUGGUAACUUUUAAGAAAAUGACAGUAUAGGUUUAGUGAGUUUUCUCCUAAGUCAAAUCCUAGUUCAACAUGUAUAAUUUCGUCUAAAAUCACUAAUUUAUGCUCCAAAUUCAGAUUUUAUAAAACAUACACAUCGAUGAAUUCGAGCCACUAACAUGAUGAAUAAAGCCAAUAAAACAUGCUGACAAUUCUAUGACUUAGAAAAAAAUCCAACGAUUUUGGUAAAUAUUAACCCACCUUGAGCGCCCGUCCAACGUCGGCAAAAAGUCGACAGGAGAAUUCCGCGCGCUCGCCCGACCUCCAAAGGUUCACCCGAGACGACCCAUGCACACGAACGGUCCUCCUAGCAAGCGAAGACUCCACACGAGCUCAACCCUCGACCUCCCCAAUGCACGGCGUAUACCAGCUAGAGAGAGGAAGAGGAGACGUAUCCUGCUCUCUAAAAGCUCCCUAUGCAUUUAUAUAGUCCGGGUUAGGUUGGGAUGAACGACACAUCAAAAGGACCAAAAUGCCCCUUAUCAACUCACUUUUCCACCUGAAAUACCGGUGCUCAGCUUGAAUACCGGUACUCAGCCCCUCAAUUCGCACUCUCGCGCGCUGGGUACCGGUACUAGCCCGUUGCAAUACCGGUACCUGAGCUCAAUAUCGGUACAGAACAACAGGUAUCGGUACUCAGCAUGAGACAUGCGCAAACCCGAAAGCAUCGAAUUCUGAAAUCUCACUAGGGUAUUGGUGCUUCUCCCCAGGUACCAGUACUCAACACUGAAAUCUUGCACUUUGCAGACUUCAGUGUCAGAACUCCACUUUGGCAUCGCGUUGAGUUCGUUUUGCGUCCAUUUCGUGCCAAAACGACUCCGACUUGUCUCGACACCCACCAGAUGUGUCGACAAGCCACAGAUGCUGAAAUCACACAUACUGCUAAACGCAAGGAACACUACAUUUCAUCCGGUUGACGCAUAUAGCUAUAGUAGUGAUUGCUGCAUGCUUGCUUACAGUUCAUCGCUUUUUACAUUUACAUUGCUACUAUAGGCCUUUUUUUACCUAUACUUGGUUACCGGUGAGUAUGCUUGCCUUCAUCGGCUUGUGGUACCCAUUGGGAGACCCUUGUUGGUUUCUCACCCCUAUUUCUUCACAGGUGGUAUGGGUGGGAUUGGUUGGGACACACCGUGAUGCCGUAGCUAGUAGGCGGUCUUAGAUGUCUCGAUCUAUGGUAUAUAUUUUGACUAUACUCCAUACUUAGCAUAAAUAUACAUGUGAUAGCAUAGUUUACCCUUACACCUGAUAGUAGAUAUUUAUUUGUGGUUCAAUUUGACAUUCUAUACUUGCGGAUUUUUGGAUGAUACACUUAUGAGGUUUUGGAUACUUGUAGUUUUGAAAAUCUUGUGGCUUCAGUUUUGGUUUUCAAACGUGGCUUCCUACCCCUUGUGGUCGUGUUUUCAAGAUAAAGGUUUCCGCGGGAAAUGACUUUCAAAUGAUUUUCUUUGGACUUUCUACUUCUUGUGGUAGUAUUUUCCAAAAUAAAGGUCCCUAAGUGGGGGACAGUUUUCAAAAUAAUUUUCUACGAUUUUUCGUUGAAGUUAGGUUUUCAAAUGAAGUUAUCGUGUGGGAGACAUUUUCAACUAAUAGGAAUGAAUGAAUGAAUGUGAAUGGAUGUGACUAAGGAUGAUUAGAUGUAUAUUGGUGUUGAGCCAAUUAGGCGCGGACAUGUGGUACGCCGGUUUUCCCUUUAAAGGCAUAAAUCUGGCCGUGCACAAGGAGCACCAGAAAAGUUUUAAAGUAAACCGUCGUGCCAAUUGAAGGAAGUUACAGUAACCGCAAGCAGCUGCAUGCGGUUCCGAUCGACUGGAGGUGGUCCGGAAUAUUAGGAGAUAGUGGCCGAUCGUGUAAGAGCAAUAACUGAUCAAGGGGCGAUCUAUAAAUAGAGCAAUAACGCCCUAAAAAAGGGUCUUUUUACCUGUGAACAAAAGACUACCCUUAAUUCCUCGCAAUUUCCUACAUUUUUUAGGAGUAGUCUACUUGUAAUUUUCUCUUUCCCGCAUUUACUGUUCUUACUAGGAGUAGUUUUAAGUAGAUCAACUGAGUCUGCAUGCCAUCCGGCACACUCGACCUCUGUACUUCUCAUCAGUGAAUAUAAAGGCAUUCGGCUCAUUCAAGCCGAUCAAUUCCUUUGCUCUAUAGCCAUUCGGCUCCUCGGCCGACUUCAGCUCUUGCUUUGUCUGUACAUUCGGCUCAUCCAGCCGAACCGAAUUUAGUGUAGAGUUUCGAACCCGGCAGAUCCGAUCCCUCAUAAGCCGAAGCUUUUGAUCGAUCGAAGGGCGCAAACUUCGAGGGUCAGUACUAUAAGCCGUUUCCAUCCCGACACGCUUCUCGAGGAGGGUCUUUGACCGGGUCAAGGACCGGGGAUUUCGGCUACCAAUAAUUUUUGGCACGCCUAGUGGGACACAUUUGAGGUAACUUUUAUUUUUUAUUAAUAUAAUGGCUGAUGAUAAUACCAUGAACUUACGUAAUAGGGUCGUUCCUAGAAAUUCUGGGAGCGAACAGCCCGACAAUUCAGAAAAUGUUGCCAAACGCCAAGCGGUUUUGCCUGCUGAAGGUGAAACUAGUGGCCAAUCCGGCCAGCAAGAGCCUAGUUUGGCUCAGGUGCUUGGGCAAAUGACUUGAGUCUUGCAAGUUCUAGAUCAAAAUAGUCAUGCUAGUACUGCACGGCUAGACGCAGUGUUGGCCGCAAUCACGGCCUCUAAUGAGAAUAUUGCUCGAAUAGGGCAAUUAUUAACUCGUAAUGAACAACCGAUAGCAGGCUUACAAACGCCUGUGAUGACACCGGUGUUACAAAAUCCCGUAACACCGGUAAAUGGACAACCCCAAUACCAGGGGGCACCUUACCUUGCAGCUUAUAGACCGGCUGUCGUUAAUGCCGGUCAACAGCCAGAGAUAGCAUGGGGGUUACUGCCUCCUCUACCAAUAGCAGUAUAUCAGCCCCAAAAUGUAGGGGCUAGGGGGCAGGUUCCAAAUGUACAAGGAGUUAACCCUGUGGUACAAAAUUUCGGUCUGCCAUGAGGACCGAAUCCAGCAAAAGCGCAAGUCCCCUUACAGGGGAUUAAUAAUAAAAUAUAUGCACAGAUCGAGGAAGCCAUCUGAAAUACCUUCGGAGUAGGCGCAAGACCGGCAAUGCGGCCUGUAUUUAGAUCACCUUAUCCUGCGAAUAUAGACACAGAACAUCCAUACUCGGCAAAUUGAAAAAUACAGAAGUUCGACAAGUUUUCUGGGGAUGAGACCCAAAAUACGGUUGAACAUGUUGCACGGUUCACGGCACAAUGCCGAAAAGCCGCAGCAGAUCCAUUUUUAAAGUUAAGAUUAUUUAACACCUCACUAACCAAGACGACGUUCACUUGGUAUACAAGUUUGCCGGCUAAUUCCGUCCGGGAUUGGGACGAAUUAGAAGGAAAAUUUCAUAAACAAUUCUAUAGAACCGAACUAGAAUUAUCGGUUGCCGAUUUGGCUCAGUUCAAACAGAGAACGGGAGAAUCGGUUGAGGAAUAUUUGAACCGAUUCAAGAUGGUUAGGAGCCGUUGUUUUGUGAGAAUGCUAGAGUUGGAGUUUGCCAAAAUGGCAUUUAACGGAUUGCAUUUUAAAAUUAAAGAUCUUUUUGAAGACAAAUACUUUUCAAAUCUUUUCGAUUUGGGAGUUCGGGUUCCUCAAUAUGAGCAAUUCCGAAAAGGAAAUAAUGAAGAUAGGCCCAGAUGGAGCCGAAACAAAGAGUGAAACAAAGGGAAGGAGAAAAUUGUCUCAUUCCUUGAAGAGUCUUCGGCUUAUGAGGAGCCGAAUUCAUCUGAAGAGGCUGAAGAUUUGGCUUAUGAAGCCGAAGUAUAUACAGCCGACAUUGUAAAAAGUCGACAGCCAUACAAAUGUGCUUUGCUGAAGCCCGCUAAGUCAAGCGAGGCAAAAGCACGGGUGUCGGCAUACACAUAUUCGUUUGAUGUAUCAAAGACCGAUCUAAUUUUUGAUUGGUUGCUAAAAGAUGGUUGAAUUCAAUUGCAGGAGGGUCAAACAAUACCUCCUGUGGAAGAAUUAAAACGUAGAUGAUAUUGCAAAUGGCACCACUCAUGGAGCCAUAAGAUAAAUGAAUGCACUGCCUUUAAGAGGCAGAUUCAAAAAGAAAUAAAUGAGGGUCGACUCAUAUUUGCCGACCAAGAAAAUAAAAAUAUGAAAAUUGAUAAGAAUCCUUUUCCAUCCGAUGUCAAUAUGGUGAAUACGAAAGGAAAAAGUAAAGCGACUGCAAAAAGGCAGAUCCAAAAAGAAAUAGACGAGGAUCGGCUUAUUUUAGCCGAUCAAGAAAAUGAAAAUACAGGAAUUGAGAAAAAUUCUUUUCUGUUACAGGUUAACAUCGUGAAUGCUAAAGGAAAAGAGAUUGCGGACAAAAAGACCGCAGAAAAUAUUGCGCACGCCAAAAGGAACCUUCGGUUUUGUGUAAGAUGCAAAGCCGAAAUGACGAAAAAAGAUUGGGAAGCCAUUAUCAAUGACAAAAAGAAAGGCAACGAAUGGAAUGAAUUGAUGGCAUUCCCCGAGGAAUGGGAUGACAUUCCUGAAGGAGAUGAUCAAGAAGAGGAUGGCUCAAAUAAUACCUCCAACGAGACGGAACCGGAAGUCAUUUCGGUUCAACACAAAAAAGAUUUAUUGAUGCAGAAAGUUUUGCAUGACUACUACCAUAACCGAUGAGAUGAACCUUAUAGCCGAUGGAGUUAUCCAGAAAAACCAUUCGGCUCAAAGCAAAGGUUUCCUGGGUAUCGGCCGCACUGGCAGCAUCAAGCCAGGCCGAGACCAGAACCGGAGUUCGAAUGAAUGACUGAGAGAGACAUAGAAUUCCUUGGUCGAAGAUUGGUCAAUAAGCUCGGCAUUCAGCCCUGACCGAGACCUUGAGAAAGAAGAGAAAUCUUAAAAAAUUAUUUAAGAACAGUGAAAGUACCGGCAAAUGUGCCGGUAGACAAGUGGCAUGAAGUCGAAGUAAAACCAUCGGCCAGAUGGCAAGGGCUGAUGUUAACAAAGACACAAAAACGCCGGCAGCAGAGGAUGCAAGCCGAGGCGAGGCAACAGUACGACGAAGCGAAAGGGAUAAGACUGAAUGUGUGGAGACGGCCUAAUGAACCACCACAUCUUUUUUGCAUGAUGCGAGACAACCACGAGGCAGGUGGCUCAUCGCCUGUUCCUUGGUUGAAAUCGAAAAUUGAAUAGCCGGUUUCGGCCGAGCAGGAGGAGAAGAUGACUAGGAGGGAGUUAGAGGACAAGAUAGCCUCCCUCGAGACAAUCAUUAAACAAAAGAGAUGGCCUCCUAAGGAGAGGGAGGUACGGAUCGAAAGCGACUCGGCUAAGACAGCUAAGGAGUCUGAAGAAAAGAAAUAAAGGAUUCAAGAAAAAUCGGGUGAUGAAGGACCAGCCAAUGUCAACAUGGUUUAUACUCUGCCACAAUCCUUUAAAGCAGAGUAUACUAAGUAUGAGGAGAUGGAGGAAGAAGUUGGGCUCAAUAUGGCCCAAUUACAAUUAGAGGAUGCCAAACCGACCGAUGCGGUGGUUUUCGAGAAACCAUCGGCCAUACAGACGAGGUUCGUGAGUCCUUUGUUUAUUCGAGCCUUAAUCGAAGGUCAGCUAGUAGGCCGAGUCAUGGUGGAUGGCGGAGCGAUGGUCAACGUCAUGCCCACUUCAUUCUUCAAGAAGUUGGGCAAAGAUGAAGAUGAAUUGAAGCUCACUGAUACAAUUAUGACCGACUUCACUGGUAGCGGUGAGCAAGCUCGAGGAGUGCUCACGACCGAGAUAACGGUAGGUUCUAAAACUUUACGAACUGUAUUUUUUGUGGUGGAUGCAGAUAGCCACUACAACCUACUGCUCGGACGCGAUUGGAUACACGCAAACGAGUGCGUGCCUUCUACCCUCCACGAAAAAUUAUUCCAGUGGAUAAGAGAUAAAGUUGAAGAAAUCCAGGUCGAAGGACGGCCCCAAAUAGUGAUAUCAACGCAGAAGAGGUCGGCCACAUCAAUUGGGCCGACGCUGAUCCAGACCAAAUCUCUUUUGUAAGAGUUACGAAAGAGGGGAUUCAGUUAAUUCUCUCUAAAGACGAAGAAGCUAUGGUGGCAGCCGAAGAGCCACCAAGUUGGCUAAAAUGGAACAAGAAGAAUCAAGAACCAAAGUUUCAGAGGAGCUUCAGCAAGAAGAGACGAUCGACAGGAUCGGCUGUGUGAUAAAUUCGGCCCAACAGGCCGAUGAUGUGGUGUACAACAUGAAGGCCGAAACGGCCAAUAAUGAACAUGUAGUAAAAUCGGUUGUUAAAGCCGAUAUGAAAAAUAUGGGGAAGUCGGCUGUUAUAGCAGAAUGUGAUACAUCAAAUGAAAUGAUUAGGCGAACAACUGACUUGAACUUAGAAGAAUCGCCUAUCAAAGUCGGUAAUAAAAAGUUGGAAACUCAGGAUCCACUUAUCGAAGUAAACUUGGGAUCCAAUGGACACAAGCAGUUGACCUAUAUUAGUGCCAGACUUUCGGCUCAACAACAGAAGGAGCUGAAAGAAUUGCUGAAGGAGUACAAAGAUUACUUUGCCUGGAGUUAUGAAAAAAUGCUAGGUCUAAGCCGAAAAGUUGUAGAACAUAGGCUACCUAUUGAAAAAUGAUAUAACCCUUACAAACAGCCGGCUCGUAGGUUUGAGCCGAGUAUUGUACUCCAAAUUAAAAAUGAAAUAGAAAAUCUUUUAAAGACUGGUUUUAUUAGAGCGGCUCGUUAUAUUGAUUGGGUAUCCAACAUAGUUCCAGUACAAAAAAAGAAUGGCAAAUUUAGAGUUUGCAUUGAUUUCAGGAACUUAAAUUUGGCUACACCUAAAGAUGAAUACCCAAUGCCAAUAGCUAAUAUAUUAGUAGAUUCGGCUGCCGAUAAUAAAAUCCUGUCUUUUAUGGACGGCCAUGCCGGCUAUAAUCAAAUUUUCAUUGCUGAAGAAAAUGCAGCUAAAGCAACCUUUAGAUGUCCAGGAUCUACUGGAACCUUUGAAUGGGUAGUCAUGCCGUUCGGUUUAAAAAAUGCCGGAGCUACUUAUCAAAGAGCAAUGAAUUUUAUUUUUCAUGAUUUGAUCGGCAAGAUGUUGAAAGUUUAUAUCGAUGAUAUAGUUGUGAAAUCCAAAUCACAAGCCGAACAUUGGGUAGAUUUAAAGCUCGCCUUUGAAAGAAUGAGAAAAUAUAAUUUGAAAAUGAAUCCUUUGAAAUGUGCUUUUGGAGUCUCAGCAGGAAAUUUAUUGGGAUUCUUGGUACAUAAAAGGGGAUUGAAAUCGAUAAAAAUAAGGCGAAAGCUAUAUAAGAAUUGCCGUCAUCAAAAAGCAAAAAAGAAUUGCAAAGCUUAUUGGGAAAAAUCAAUUACUUGUGGCGAUUUAUAUCGAAUUUGGCUGGUAGAAUAGGGGUUUUCAUUCCGUUACUUCGGCUAAAAAGUAAAGAGGAAUUUGUUUGGACAGAAGAACAACAAGUAGCAUUUGAAAAUAUAAAGAAAUAUUUAACAAAUCCUCCAGUACUUAUGCCUCCUAAAUAAGGACGGCCGAUGAAACUAUACAUUUCGGCUACAGAGGAUAAUUUGGGAUGUUUGUUGCCCCAAGAAAAUGAAGAAAAAGAGGAACAUGCCAUUUAUUAUCUAGCCGACGGUUAUUAGAUACAGAAAACAGAUAUUUGGCUAUCGAAAAAUUAUGUUUGGCUUUAUAUUACUCUUGUUCAAAAUUAAGAUAUUAUAUUUUAUCAACUGAAGUAUCGGUAAUAUGUAAAACCGAUCUGAUAAAAUAUAUGAUAUCUAAGCCAGUUCUGAGAGGACGAAUUGGAAAGUGGAUGUUAGCCUUAUCUGAAUUCUCCCUCAAUUAUGUUCCGGCAAAAGCUAUUAAAGGACAAGCGAUAGCUGAUUUUCUGGCUGAUCAUCCAUGUGUUGAAAUCGAGGAGCCGAAACAAAAUUUAAUCGGCUGUCAACCUUGGAUACUUUACUUUGAUGGCUCAAGAACAGCCGAGUCCGCGGGAGCUGUAAUAAUUAUACAGUCUCCUGAGGGAUAUUCAUGUCAAUUUUUUUUUAGCUAGAUUUCGGCUGCUCUAAUAAUUAAGCCGAAUAGGAGGCCUUAAUAAUUGGCCUCGAGAUUUUACAAAAUUUAGGAGUUAAGUCAAUCAAGGUCAUCGGUGAUUCACAGUUAGUAAUUAAACAAGUGAAUGGAGAAUACCGAUGCGAAAACCGGAAUUUGCAAAAUUAUUUAAGAAAAAUAAUAGAAUUGAUAUGCAAUUUCGGAGAAGUUCAAUUUAAGCAUAUGAUCAGAGAGAAAAAUGAACAAGCAAAUGAAUUAGCCCAAUCGGCUUUACGGUAUAAGGAACCGAAAUGAGGUCUAAUAAGAAUUGAAAGAAGGUUGUUACCUUCGAUUCAUGUUCGAGAGCCGAUUAUUGCUCCUAUAGAGAUGAAAGAGGAUUGGAGAAAAUCCAUAAUUGAGUAUUUAGAAGACCCCAACAAAAAGGUCGACUAUAAUAUUCGAAGAAGAGCACUCGGCUAUUGUUUGUUAGAUGGACAGCUCUACAAGAGAACAGCCGAAGAAAUAUUAUUGUUAUGUUUAGGGCCUGAUGAAGCUUUAUUGGUGAUGGGGGAAACUCAUGAGGGUUUAUGUGGAGCCCAUUUAGCAGGAAAAAGAUUAAGAUGGAUAAUUCGGCACUUAGGUUAUUAUUGGCCGACUAUGCAUCAAGAUUGCAUAGAAUAUGCUAAGGGUUGCCAAGAUUGUCAAUUUCAUGGAUCGGUACAGAGAGUUCUUGCUUUUGAGAUGUAUGCUAUAAUUAAACCGUGGCCUUUUCGAGGUUGGGCCAUGGAUUUGAUUGGAGAAAUUCAGCCAAAUUUCUCGGCUUGUCAUAAGUUUUUAAUAGUAGCCGUUGAUUAUUUUACCAAGUAGAAGUGAAACCUGCUCGAUUGGUCACUUAAAAAGAAAUUAUUGACUUCGUUGAAGACUCAAUAAUUCAUCGCUUUGGGAUUCCCGAGACGAUCACAACCGAUCAAGGAACAAUGUUCACAGGAGGUCAAAUCCAUGGCCCAACCAGCAGAAGAAAUGUCUGAUCGAUCGGCCAAGUCAAGUGAAAGUGCGCACAGCCUAUCAAAUUGUUCUGGAUUCUGAGCCAAAUAUGGGAGACCUUGACUAUAUAAUCGUAGAUACUCAUCAAAUUAUUGUUGAGUGUCUAACGACAUCACAAUGAUAGUUGAAUCAUCUCCUUCAUUAGAAUUUGGGCUCGAAACUAAAAGAGAGUGAAGAGUUACAGACAGAGGAUCUUCUGGAAUAGACGAUGAAGCUUCAGGAGGCAAAUGGGCAAAUGAGUCUCUGUUCGUGCUCCUUCAACGCCCUUUUCCAAAGGUGCAUUCACAUUUUCUCCUUCUGUUGUUGGCAUUGGUGAUGCUGCACUAUUUGUUGGCAACUCUUGGGUCUUUCCUUGAGUUGCCCUGUUCUUUUCUGCUUCUUGCCUCUUUUUGAGGCGAGCUUCACGACGGAGUUGCCUAUCCAUCUGCGUCUUCAAAGAAGGAGCAAAAUGGAUUCUUUCAGGAGAAGACUGUUUUAUUAGGAGGAAAGAAUAAAUAAAUGAAGAAACAAAAAGAUUGAGUAUAGAUAACCAAAAUUGGUUUACCUCAAUCUCAAUCGGCUCGUUCGAAACAGAGCUUUGCUCGGCAGCCGAAGAUGAUACUUCAGUUCUUUCUUUUGGAGCAUCAGCCAAAGGUGUUUCUUCGGCUCUUUUUUCUGAAAUUGUAACCGAAGGUAUUUCUUCGGCUCUUUUCUUUAAAAUAUCAGCCGAAGAAACGCCUUCGGUUUGUUGGGAAUACGAAUACGGUCUCUUGACGACCGACUUGCGCCGCUUUGGAGGCGGCGGAGUAGAUUGUGUAGUUUCCGUCGGCCUUUUCUCUGAAGCUGGGACCGAUGGAGAAAUCGGAAUUAACUACAAAAAAGGAAAAGUAAGCACUAUAUAUACCAAGAAAAGAAAAUUAAAAGAAAAGCAUGGUGUAUUACAGAAGAAGGAGGGAUAUCGGAGAUAUGAUCGGAAAUCUCUUCUGAUGCUUCUUGUAGUACAGAUGAAGCGGCGGUAUUGUCCGGAAGACAUUUGCUUGAAAAAGGCACUAUAAAUAGAAAAUAAAUAAGCAAGAAUUAUGUCGAGCAGAAAAUUUUCUAUAAGUAAGAGACAUACCAAUUGGGCGAAUAGUUUUGCGGUGUGCUUGUGAAGUAGACAAAUUGAAAGUAAUAUUGACAAAACGAUCCCAAUUAACGGUGUAGCGGAAACCUACUACUCCUGUACAAUUUGGCCUGAAGCUUAAUAAUUUGAAGAAUCGCAGAAGACGAUUCCCCAUGGCCGAGAUUCGAUCAGCAUCGACUAUGCUUUUGGUGCGAGGACGAUGAACGGCAGUAUUGGCCGUAAAGAACUUAGUUGGAGCAGGGAUUGCUUGUGUAAAUCUAAAUUGACGCGCUGCGAACUGGGGGGAGUAAACCUCAGUACUGGGCAGUAGUUUCGAGUGCGAUUUCAAACCAACGUGCAAAUCCCUUAUAGCCAAAAAAGAGUACCAGACAUCUGAAUGUUCGUCGGCACGGGAAGAAGCAGUUUCACUUUGAAUGGCCUCAUACCUAGCUAAAAACCAAGGUGGGACGGUGACACGAUCAGCAAGAGGAGACCAAGAAAUGAGGAAAUGAGGACCUGAUUCAUAAAAAGCCUUGAAAUAUGUGAUAAAAUCAAGAGGGUUGCCUGAUGUUAACGGCUGAGGACAGCCGAGAGCAAGCCCAUAAGAGUCAAAAUGAGCAGCCGAGUCUAGAUCUAGAGGUUCUCGGCACAAUUUAUGAAAAUAAAUUUGCAGAAACAUUUGCAAAAACCCAAAACACCACAUCCCGAGCUAAUUGUUACACCAUCUCCAGAGGGUAGUGGUUUAAUGGAAUCAAAGAUUUCCCUAUAGACGAAGGCAAGAAAAUAAGGCCCUAGAGCUAAUCUAUCGCCGUUAGAUAAACCAACGGCGAUUGGUACAAAGUUCCGAUUAAUUUUCUGCGAACGAGUACAGAAGAGAUUGUGGCAUAACCAAUAUAGGAGGAACGCUGUAUGUUCUUUCCUAGUGACAGGGGCAGGGGAUUCGCCUGCAAACUUACGGAGGAACUUGGAGUAAGCCAAGUCAAUGAAGUCAUUGAGGUCAAGAUGAGCCUCAAAGUCAGACACGUCAUCAGGAUUAUAAGCCAUAGAGAUGGUAACGCCAUGAGGACGCAGUCCAACGAUAGCGGCUACGUAAAAAAGAGUCGGAGUAAGAGGUCCCCCUCUGAAAAGAAAAACGUUGGAAACAGGGGACCAAAAACAGAGAGCAGAAGUUAACAGAAGGUUGUCGGCUACAGGAGGCUUCCUAGAUAGCCGAAUAGCUUCAUAAAUCCCGAUUUCCUUUCAAGAAUUACCAUAAACAGCUUCCACUCGGUCCAACCAAUCCAAGUAAGCAUCUGAAACACCCGGCUAAGUUCGAAGACUUUUUCCUGUCGAAGCCGAGGAAUACCAGGAGUGAAGAUCAAUGGAUUUAGCUAUAAAUGGAAGACCAUCACUGGAGUAAGGAAAAUCAUCAGGAGUUGGAUCUUCAGUAAAGGAGGGACCCAAGGUUAAUCUAGUGGGGUCUAAAGAGAGAUAUGGUUUAAGUAAAGUAUAAUCUAGCGAAGGACGAGUAGGUAAAGGCGGGAGCGGCGCCAUUACUCGAAGCGAAAAGAAACUAUAGAAUGAAGCAGAAGCCUGAAUGAAAGAAUGAAGAUUAAAAAAAAUCGGAGAAGACGAAGAAGAAGUAAAGAGAAGCGAAAGAGAAGUUUCGCCGGAAAAGACGAGGAAGAAAUAAAAAGGGGAUAGAAAAGACAAAGGGAAUGAGAAGCUUAGGAAAGAAAAAAAGAUCGUCGCAUCGAACCAUUGCAUCAAAACGAGUUCCGAGGUCGGCUAUAAUGAUGAAUAGACGACCGUAAUUAAGAUGACCUAAUUAAUGCCUUAUAUGAAACAAAAAUAGGGAGCGAGAUCGGGGCUGUAAAAAAGAAAAUGGACGGCCAAGAUUGAACCGUACAGAGGAUCACGCCUCGGAUUACGUCAGUUACUCGUACAGAGAAUUUGAAUUUAAUUGGACCGAGAACCACGCCUCGGAUCGCGCUUGUUAUUGAAGCGAUGGUGGGAUUUGGCAGCAGAACAAGUGGACGGUUGAAACGAAACCGUACCAAGAGUUUGAAAAGUAAUCGCGCCUCGGAUUACGCCAGCUACCGAAGCGUUAUUUCGAAAGCUGCCGAGGGGGCAAUUGUUGAGCCAAUUAGGCGCGAACAGGUGGUACGCCGGUAUUCCCUUCAAAGGCAUCAAUCUGGCCGUGCACCAGGAGCACCAGAAAAGUUUUAAAGUAAACCGUCGCGCCAAUUGAAGGAAGUUACAGUAACCGCAAGCAGUUGCAUGCGGUUCCGAUCGGCUGGAGGUGGUCCGGGAUAUUAGGAGAUAGUGGCCGAUCGUGUAAGAGCAAUAACUGAUCAAGGGGCGAUCUAUAAAUAGGGCAAUAACGCCCUAAAAAAUGGUCUUUUUCCCUGUGGACAAAAGACCACCCUUAAUUCCUCGCAAUUUUUUGCAUUUUUUAGGAGUAGUCUACUUGUAAUUUUCUCUUUCCCGCAUUUACUGUUCUUCCUAGGAGUAGUUUUAAGUAGAUCAACCGAGUCUGCAUGCCAUCCGGCACACUCGACCGCUGUACUUCUUAUCAGUGAAUAUAAAGGCAUUCGGCUCAUUCAAGCCGAUCAAUUCCUUUGCUCUAGAGACAUUCGGUUAGAAGUGCAGUACAAAUUCAAAAUUCAAACAAUAAAUGUCGAAAAAUUUAAAAAUAAGUGGAGAAUUAGGCAAUAGUUUUGAAAAGAAAGUACAAUUAUUUUAUGAAAAUCUCUCUGUUGCGACCACAUAAAAUUCAAACUAGAGAUUGUGAGAAGAGAGGAGGAUGACAUCAAGAAGAAGUAUCAUCAACCCUAAUAUUCUACGUUUUAUUUUUCUUACAUAGGAGUAGGCGUAACCUAAUCUAGCAAUAGUGAUAUAUAGAAGCCCUGGUCAGUGGAGAACUGUCCUUUACCAAUCGCUCACAAUUUCUCGAGCCUUCAUUGGACCACCUCACCUUUUGUUGCCGAAUGCUUUCCCAAGAUGCACGCUUUUGUCAGGUGUAGAAUACCACUCCGAUCGCUAUUCUUAUGUAGUGAUUCUAUUAAGCUCAACUUUGGCUUGGAUCAACGGCCGAAACUUGAAAGCCAAAGAAGUUUCUAGACUUCGGCUUGUUUCUAAAUGUCUCAAGGCUGUCUCUCAAGAAUUAAACUUGAUCGGACUGUUUUCUUUCAGACUUACGUCUGAAAUAAAGUUAGAUUUUACCUCUGUAUCAAAUAAUGUCACACUCUGCGAUUUUAUUUACUAACACUGGUAUUGAAGAAAUAAAAAGAAAUAUACUAACAGACCUAAUUUUACCUGCUUCGUUUACUUUAUUUAAAAAUAAACUUAACUAGAAAUAUGAAUCAACUAGUAUUCGAAUUUGAAACCUCGAUCAUCAAGCCUUUUGCCACAUGAUCUAGGGAUGGUUGGUUUGGUUGAGGACUGAAAGUUAAUCCCCAAAAAUUUAUAAUUUGUAUUUACAAACGAAUCAAGAACCGAAAGCUACCUAGUAACCCGAAUCGGACCCCGCGCUCGCGGUUCAUCGCAAACCAUGGGGGUUCGCUCGCGUCUUCUCGCAGUUUCUACCUCAGCUCUCCCCCAUCGAAGCCUCUCCNNNNNNNNNNNNNNNNNNNNNNNNNNNNNNNNNNNNNNNNNNNNNNNNNNNNNNNNNNNNNNNNNNNNNNNNNNNNNNNNNNNNNNNNNNNNNNNNNNNNGUUGUAGUUCUCACCCCACUAUUUCCACAGAGCCGGGACCGAGCGAGCCGGCGAGCUACAGAGGUAAAGGUAUCGCGCCUUAGUAAGAGGCCACCAAAGUUGGGUUUCAUUUUGUAGUAAAGUACCCUAUGAUCAUCUUUUGUAUUUGAUGAUUUAAAAUGUUAAUGUAUAAAGCAAAGAAAAGAAUGUAAAGCUUAUUUGAAGUAGAUGUGAUAUAAAAAGAAAUGAUGCAAUGUGUAAUGAAGUACAAGGAAUCAUGAAUGUAAAUGGAUGCAAUGUAUAUGAUCAAAAACGAAUCAUAGUACUUGUAAAUGUUUAGUUUUCCUUUCUUUCACUAAUGGCUAUUGCUUACCCUCGUGUAAGCCGUUUGUGUAUGUUUCCGCUAAUGCAUUUCUUGUUUGAAUUUGUACAUGUGAUGAGCCUUGGGCGGAUAGGGGAAACUCUGUUCGUUCGGCGUCUGUUUGACGUGCUCGGGCCGGCCCAAAUUGGUAUCGGUCCCGGGGCGUGACAGAAAGAUUUUUCUAACAAUUUUAGAUUCCGGGAUCUUCUCUCCCAAGUUAGCACAUGUAUUGAUUAUGUCUUGGAGUCUAGUAAAGUAAUCGGUAAAAGAUUCAUGCUCAUCCAUUCAAAUAGAAUCAAAUUGACUUGUCAACAUGUCACGCCCUGUAAUAUACCGAACUUCUAAUUUAUGAAGUUACGAUGUAUGUUAGCUUAGAAAGCCAUUGGAAUCAUUCCGGCGAAGUUCGGAAGCAUUCGGGUGCUUCGGUGCGCAUAGGGCGCGAAAACGGAACCCGGAAGGCUAUGUUGGACCGUUGACUAAAUCCGGCAUUAGCGUGGAUGAAAAGAUGAUGAAAACAUGUUUGAAAACAUGUUUGGAGAGUCUCGGUUCGAUUUGAAAAGAAACGGAGGUCAAACGAGUGAAAACGAGCGAAAACGGAGUGAAAAAGGAUAAAGGCUGAAAAUGCUGAAAAUUUGGCUAAGUCUGGAAUUCUGGCCUUUCGGGGACCGGUCUCUCACCGCAAGGACCGGUCUCAGAACCCCGAAAAUGCCCAGUUUGGGCUGUUGCGAGGGAAGCAUUGUGGAGGGGCUUAAGUGCAAAAUGGCACUUAUGAGAGUGUAUAGAGAGGAUCCUUUCUCUCUUUNNNNNNNNNNNNNNNNNNNNNNNNNNNNNNNNNNNNNNNNNNNNNNNNNNNNNNNNNNNNNNNNNNNNNNNNNNNNNNNNNNNNNNNNNNNNNNNNNNNNNNNNNNNNNNNNNNNNNNNNNNNNNNNNNNNNNNNNNNNNNNNNNNNNNNNNNNNNNNNNNNNNNNNNNNNNNNNNNNNNNNNNNNNNNNNNNNNNNNNNNNNNNNNNNNNNNNNNNNNNNNNNNNNNNNNNNNNNNNNNNNNNNNNNNNNNNNNNNNNNNNNNNNNNNNNNNNNNNNNNNNNNNNNNNNNNNNNNNNNNNNNNNNNNNNNNNNNNNNNNNNNNNNNNNNNNNNNNNNNNNNNNNNNNNNNNNNNNNNNNNNNNNNNNNNNNNNNNNNNNNNNNNNNNNNNNNNNNNNNNNNNNNNNNNNNNNNNNNNNNNNNNNNNNNNNNNNNNNNNNNNNNNNNNNNNNNNNNNNNNNNNNNNNNNNNNNNNNNNNNNNNNNNNNNNNNNNNNNNNNNNNNNNNNNNNNNNNNNNNNNNNNNNNNNNNNNNNNNNNNNNNNNNNNNNNNNNNNNNNNNNNNNNNNNNNNNNNNNNNNNNNNNNNNNNNNNNNNNNNNNNNNNNNNNNNNNNNNNNNNNNNNNNNNNNNNNNNNNNNNNNNNNNNNNNNNNNNNNNNNNNNNNNNNNNNNNNNNNNNNNNNNNNNNNNNNNNNNNNNNNNNNNNNNNNNNNNNNNNNNNNNNNNNNNNNNNNNNNNNNNNNNNNNNNNNNNNNNNNNNNNNNNNNNNNNNNNNNNNNNNNNNNNNNNNNNNNNNNNNNNNNNNNNNNNNNNNNNNNNNNNNNNNNNNNNNNNNCUGUUUCUCUACUAUAUAGAGGUUCAAAAUUAUCACACCAAAAACGUAGGCAUGUUAAGCAUCCUAAAUUCACGAUAAUGUAUCUAGCCAGGAAUGAAGAAUAAUCAUUUUAUAAAAGUAUUAAACCAAGAAUUCGAGAAUUUCUCAUAAAUAGGCUAGGUCAACCCACCAAAAAUCGAAAAUUCGUUUCGGCCGAACUGGAGGUUUUCUACAAGCUUCCUAACCAGCUAGAACAUCAAAUGGGUCACCCAACGAAACGAAGAGCAAAAUAGCUAAACAUUACCUGGACAGCAAAAGGCCAAAACUCACCUCACAAGCAGAAAAUCCUUCUAAGCUUUCAAAGGGAGUCUAGAAUCCUUCAAUCGAGCCCAAGGAAGGUUCUAACCCAAGAAAUUUACUCCAAAGGCUAGAUUCAAAAUGCCGCAAAAUAACCCUAAAGUCUCUCUAGGGUUUAUCUAUAAAAACGCUCAAAAGCCAUCUAGAGGGAGAGAAGUGUUGUACUCACUUAGAAGCUUUACCAAUCAAGCUCAAAAGUCUCCAACUUCAAAGAUCUUCCCUCAAUCAGGCUCAAGACCAAGCUCCAAGCCUUCAACCAUGGUGGAGAAGCCACCAAAAUGCAAAAGAGAGGAAUCAAACCUUAAAUCCCAAGUAAAAAGGGAUAUAAGAACCAAAGAGAAGAAGAUGAGGGAUGCCCUACCUUGUUCUCCACGGUUCCCAGCUCAGGGGAGGCUCUAAGGGAUAUGGGAGAUGAUAUAAGAAGGCCACAAAUGCAAAAACACCCCUGCAGUUUCGAACUGUGCGAAGUCUGCCGCCUUGUACCGGUACACGGGCCCUUGUACCGGUACAAGGUCCACGAAAUCCAAACCCGAGGCUCGAGUUGCUGGGCUCUACUGCUCUGUACCGGUACAAGCUCCGAUGGCUAUACCGGUACAACCAUCAACCUUGUACCGGUACAAGCACAACCUUGUACCGGUACAAGCCCGCCAGAACUCAAUCCGAGAGUCAGCCAAAUCCCGUUUUUUCGGGUUUUGGUGCAAGGCUUUGUACCACAAAUCUCAGGACACAUGCCAUAGGUCGCAACACAGUCAACGACCCACCAGAAAAUCUGGAAAAGUUCAGAACACAGCCAAUCACUCGAAUCUCGCAAUUUGCAAAGGUCCAGUGUGUUACACAACAUUUGGAGCUUUUGAACUUUUAUUAGACUUGUACCCUUAUGUGUAACUUGUAGAGUAUCCCAAAUCUCUUUGGCGGUUUCAAACACUGAAACACAAAAAAAUUUCGUUUGAGACAACGCAUUAAAUAAAGCAUUUAUUCCCUUUCUAUUGAACGAAGAUAACUCGUUUUCGUCUUUCGUCCAUUUAUUUCUAGGUUUAGGGACGGUUGCAUUAUCGACGACUUCGGUGGGAUACUUCGAGUAGAAUUUAAUUGAUUGCCACACCCGCUCAUCGAUGACAAUAAGAAAAGCUCUCAUGCAAACUUUCCAAUAAGCAUAGUUUGUGCCAUCGAAGAGUGGUGAUCGAUUAAUGUUACCGCCUUCACCCAUUGUGAUAGUUAAAAAUCUAGAUCCCACUCUGAUACCACUUGUAAGUUAUGGGAACCCUAGGAUCUAUCUAGAUAAUAUCUGUAAUAUACCGAAACCUCGCUAGAGAAUAUUGGACUUUAGCCAAAUUGACUAAAGCAUCCGACAGAAAAAGCUAGACAAAAUCGAAUUAAUAUUCCAACAAUAUUGGAAGGGUUAAAAAUGAGUUCUAAAAGAGUUAGAAAGGUUUAGCAUUACUCGGCGCGAAAAGAAGCUGAACAAGUGCUAAAACUACAAUCUGGGCAUUAGGUACCGGUACAACAUCGAGGUGGUACCGGUACUGCAUUAUAAACCGAGAGAAGCAGCUCUCGAGUUUGCCUCUGCGUAACCUUGUAACCAGUGACAAAAUUGUCCCAUACCAAUACUGUAAUAUACCGAAUAUUCGGAAAAUAAAAGUCGAACUUUAGUCAAAUUGACCAAAGUACGAGGAUGGAAUACUUCGGAAAGUCCGAAGGUGUUAAAAUGAGUAAAAGUGAGUUGUGGAAGGUUUUCGAGAGCCAAAGAAUCAAAUUCUACAAAACUGCAGAAUUUGAGCUCUCGGGGACCGGUCCCUGGUGGGAGAGACCGGUCCCCGAACGCGUAUGAAAUGAGACAGCCGAAAAAUCGGCUAAGUCCUGGAAGAUCAGCUCUCGGGAACCGGUCUCUGCCUNGUAAAUGUAAUGUAAGAAAGAAAUGAUGAAAUGAUGUAAUGAAUGUAAGAAUUCGAUAAAUUACUAGAUGGAUGCAAUGUAUAUGAUCUAAAAUGAAUCAUAUUACUUGUGAAUGUUUAGUUUCCUUUUUCUUUCACUUAUGGCUAUUGCUUACACUCGUGUAAGCCGUUUGUGUAUGUUUCCGCUAGUGCUUUUCUCUAUUGAUGAAAAUGUACGUGUGAUGAGCCUUGGGCGGAUAGGGAAAACUCUGUCCGUUCGGCGUCUGUUUGACGUGCUCGGGUCGGGCCAAAUUGGCAUCGGUCCCGGGGCGUGACAAAUACCAAGUGUAAAUACCCGAGCAGCAGCUCUCGGGUUUGGCUGUUAUGAAAUCGUGUAACUGAUGACAACCCAGCCCGUACCGGUACCAAGUGGACCUCGCAGCAAAAUAAAAACUGCUGCAAAUACAAGUGUUUGGGGGACCUUUUUGCUACUGUAGCACCUUAUAAAUGACCCCAACACCCCCUCCCACCUGGUUUACACAGCAAACUCCUCUCUCUCUCUCUCAUUUCUCUCUUUCUCUCUCUAGAGAUCAUUUCCUAGAGCAAGGAGGUGAAGGAGGAGAAGGCUUUGGAUGAGAUGAUUUGAAUGUUUGGGUCUCUCCUACAAGGUGGACUUGGGAGAGCUUAGGGCAAAGGUAAGGUUUUCUUGUGUAAGGUUUUCUUGUAAGAUCUAGGGCUUGGGUUUUAUGCCCUACAUCUUUGGAUUUGAGCUUCUUACAAGAGUAGAAACCUUCUAGAGGCUAUAGAACACAUGAAAAUAAGGUUUCUUCAUAUGCUCUCAUGGUGGAUCUCUAGGGCUUGGUUUGUUUGCCCUAGAAAUGAUUAGAAAAGCUUAGAAAAUGUUCUAAGAGGUUCAACAAGCUUUCUUUUGCUUGUUCUAGAGAUCUCAAACCCGAAGAUUGAGCAAAUGGCAUUGUUAGGGCACCGAAAUUAGGGCUUUUGCCCUAGAGUGGUUUAAAGGCAAAUUGACCUCAUAGAAACCUAAUUAGGGGUAUUUCUAACUAGAAUAUGAACUCGGUUCGGUGAUCCGACGAGUGUACGCCAAGAAAUUGACGAAAAGAUCGAUUUUGGUAUAGAUAGCCGCAGCACGCGGAAUAGACGCCCAAAAAUUCCAAGAAUUGAACCGUAGCACCUUUGCAACCAUACAAGGUAGGUGGUGCUUACCAAACUCUUUGAAAUUCCUUGUAUGUCUAAUGUGUCACUUAUUGAGCAUAUGUAUAUGUAUUGUUGCAUGCAUUGUAGGGUGAUUGAGAUUGUAUUUAUAUGAAUUGUUGCAUGUUGUGAGUACAAAUGUAUUAUGAAAUGGUUGAGAAUCUAUGAACCCUAUGUAUGCAUGAUUGGUGAUGAAAACCUAGAUGAGGUAAAGAACAAUGUGAUACUAUGACAAGUAGAUCGAGUGGCAUUAGUAAAUGCAAUGAAACACUAGAGUUAGUGUAUGGCAUUAAUGAGUCAAAAUUUACUAGUGUACAAUUGUGGCACUAAAUGAAUAUAUUGAAUGAUAGAGCAUGAACCACUAGAGUUAGUGUGUGUGGCAUUAUUGAGAAUUGAAUGCUAGAGAAUUGAGAAUAAAGAACUCGUGGUGUAAUGACACUAACGAAAGUAGAGAAUGCAAGUGCAUGUGAGAGUUGGCAUUAUGACAUCAACCUUAUAGUUAAGGGUCAUAUGAGCAUUGCUACCUUAUAGUUAAGGAAUGGAUUGAACUUGAAAUCUUUAUAGUUAAGGAUCGGAUCAUCCUCGCCUUACGCCUUGGCUCGGAAGGCGGUAGCUCCCCCUCGAGCGAUGAGCUCCAGAAUAGUCAUCACUGGGUCGUAGUAGUUCUCCCCAGAGGACGGUCCCGUACGGGUUGUAGGAGUUUCUCCCCGAUACUUGGGAUUAUGAGUUGGUGAGUCUAUUGACGCGAAACCUACGGGUAAGCCUAGAGAUUGGGAAUUGGAAAGUGACCUUGCAUUCAUCAUGAGCAUUCUUGUUGAGCAUUCUUAUUGAUCUCAUUGUUCAGGCAUAUUAGCUGCAUUUAUAUAGUUGGUUACCUAUCUAUCUGCUUAUUUCUUCUAUUAUGCCUGAGUUAGACCUAGUGGGAAGGUCGGCGAGAUUGGUGGCCAACUCACUGGGAACUUUGUUGUAAUUCUCACCCCACUAUUUCCACAGAGCCGAGACCGAGCGAGCCGGCGGACGACCACGGUAAAGGUAUCGCGCCAUAGCUAGAGACCACCCGAGUUGGUUUCAUUUUGGGUUUAGUUGCAUUACCCCUUUUAUACCAUCUUUUGUAUUUUGAUGGUUAUAGAUGUUUAAAGAAAAGAAUAUGAAUGAUGUAAAAGAAUUUAUAUUUGAAUGCAAAAGCUUUAUUUUGGAGAAUAUGUGAUGUAAAAAGAGAUGAUGUAAAGAAUGUAAAGGAAUUAUAUUAAAGAUGUAUGCAUGUAUGUGAUUUACAAUUAAUCAUAUUACUUGUAUGUUGAUUAGUUAAUACUUUCACAUUGGCUAUUGCUUGCCCUCGUGCAAGUCAUUAUGUUUGCUUCUGCAUGUGCAAAUUUUAUACUCUAUUUGUACUUGCUGUUGAGCCUUGGGCGGACAGGAGAGGCUCUGUCCAUUCGGCAUCUGUUCGACGUACUCGAACCGACCAAAUAGGACCGGGCUUGGGGCGUGACAAUAUCACACCUAGAGGAGGGGUGAAUAGGUGUAUAGCCCAAAAUCGUAAAUCUCAAUGCAAUAAAAAUAAAUGCGAAAAAUAAAAAUAGCACACCGAGAUUUACGUGGGAAAACUCCAAUUUGAAGAAAAACCCACGGGACCAACACGCGAAAAAAUAAUCCACUAAGAGAAAAGAUUAUAAGGUGAUUACCGACUCCACGGACUCUACCUCUCUUAACCUCCUAUAGAUCUCGUGCAAGCCUCCGGGUUGUCCACUCCCUCACGUUCGAAUCCACGAACGCCACGCACACAUCCGAAUCCACGGAUGCCACUCGAAUCCACGAGCUCACGAUCCGAAUCUUCGAACCGCCUUCGAUCACGCCGAAUCCACGACGCCGCACAUGAAGAGUAUCAUGCAUGUUUAUGGUGAUCCUUGGCUUAGAGAGUCGUUGAAGAACCAGAAAUAAGAACUCUCUGCAAAGUUUAGAUCAAUUCGACAUAUAGAUAUAGAAUUCAAUAUCUCGAAUUGAACUAAAAGAGGCCAAUUUGUGAAAAAUAGGUUUAGAACGAAAACCUAGCCUCUAGGGUUACUCUAUCAUGUAAUCUCGUGCUUCAUACUGAUUAGAGUAUAGCUUAUUUAUAGACUUUAGAAUCAAUUAGAGCUGAAUUAGAAGCUAUACAAGAAAAUUUUAUAUUGAGUACCGGUACUCGGAAAGUUGGUACCGGUACACCACGACGGAACAGAAAUUUUCUCAGGCUGAGUACCGGUACCAGGCCGAUGCAGUACCGGUACGCGGCCGAUGCAGUACCAGUACGCGGCCGAUGCAGUACCGAUACUCGGCUUUGGUACCGGUAGGCAAUACAAUUCGAAGAAUUGCAUCUCUCGAGUUUUGAGGUACCAAUGUGGGGUACCGGUAUUCUGUUUUGAAACUUAGUUUUUCAAUAUAGUUUUUGAGGAGCUGAAAACAGGUACUGGUACACAAUAUCAAAUAUUGUUCUAAUCAAUUCAAAAGUACCAAAACCCACUUCUAAUCCUUUAAACAUUGAUUUAUAUGAUUCUACUAUCAUAAAUAAGUAUGAAUCACCAUAACAUGAUUUAAAACCUUACCUGAGCCUCGUGAUCCAAGCAAUGAGAUGUUUCUGAGUUCUCGAAAUCUUGGAUUCUUCGAUCUUCAACAAUCACGCACCGAACCCUUCAAGACUCCGACUCAAAUCAUGAAACUUGCCAAUACUAAAUCCCUAAUACUUCCAAUGGAAAAGCCUCAAAAAUAAACCCUAGUUUUAUCAUGACCAAUUUUUCUACAAAAAUUUUUGCAAAUCUCACAAAUAGAGGAUGCAAGAAUGCUACUAACCUCAAUUUAGACUCCAAUGCAAGCUAUAAAAUGCUAGGGUUGAUGUUCAAGCCUCAAAUGUAAUAAUACCGAACUUCUACAAUUGUGGAGUUCUAGUGGAAUAGCUUAAAAGGCUAUUAAAUAGUUCUGGCGAAGUUUUGGGAGUUAUUCGGGUGUUUCCGGAUGAAUGAGGUUCCGGAUGCCCGAUUGUGAUUCCGAGCGCCCGAAAUGUAUUCCGAACUUAGGGGCAUUUAGUGAUUGUUUGAGGGCUUUUCUGCAAUUGUCAUAGGCCGAUAAAUGGGCGAACCAUCCUCCACACCUCCUUCAUUCCUUAUCUGAGAAGAAUCUUUUUUUCUCUUAUUUCCUCUCCCUUUUCUUUUCUCUCCCUUUUCUCCUCCUACUUAAGUUAGGGCCCAGCUUAGGAGGGACCAGAAGCAACGUUUUUAAGUACCCGUCGGCACGGGCCGUAUCAACCGUGUCAUACCGUACCAACAAGUUACCGGCACGAUACAAACCCCGUGCCGAUGGCACAACUCAAAACCCUAUAUUCUUUAAAUUAGUAAGUAAUUUUCUCAAUAAAGUUCAAAAAAUAUAAUAAAAAGACAUAAUAAAUAAUUAAAAUAUUUUGUUGCUAAAGAAAAUACAUAUUUCAUGAUAUUAUGUGUCAGCAGAUAAAAUUUUUUUUGAUUAGCACGCAUCGGUACAACUCGGCACGCACCGUGCCAUAUCGUACCGGCAAGUUUCCAGCACGACCCUGUACCACGGCACUUAAAUCUUUGACCAGAAGUUUAACUUUCUUCUGUUGAUGAUCCCUAAUUCAAGCGUAGUAGAGGGUAGUGCAAGCAUAGCGGAGGAUAGCUACUGUAGAGUGAGGACAGCCUUGGAUAACUAUUCUUCCAUCUUGUAUUGGAUUAGAGGAAGAAUGUAACAGAUGGGUUUAAAGAAAAUUAAAGUGGGACUUUGAUUGAUUAUGAUAUAAUAGUGGGAGAAGUUUUGACUCAUCAGAUAUAAAAUAUACACUAGCAUGAACCCGCUGUCAUACAGAAAGAUAUACUCUUGACAGGAAGAUUACUCGUCCACUUUUCUUGUUAUGCAUAUAUGCCCGGCCAGCUUGCAUAGGAUGCCAACACUUCAAUAGACGAAAUGGCAUCAAAAGAAAAAUAAAUAACACCCAUUACUAUAGAACUUCGCAAGAUUAAAAAUACAAAAUAAACCACAACAGUCCAUCCAAUCUGCAAAUAUACCAUGAUAAUAUGUAAUUCAGCACUACGGUACUUCAGCAGACAUUAGUCCUGACACAAAUUUUUGGAACUUCUAGUAGUGUACUUUAUUUGUUCGACUCAAAACUCAAAGGUAGUCAUUACAAUCUAGCAUUGGUAAUAAUUAGAUGUUAGAAGCGAGGUAAGGAGACAAUUUACUGACAACCUUUCACUUAAAAAACCUUGAUUUAUGAUCAUGAAAGGCAAUCGAAAUGCAACACUACUUUAACAAGAUACAAUUGCGAUACAACAAACAAAAGCAUAUCGUCAACUUAGUACGGAUGGUAUCGCCGUCCUCGGCUCCCAUCAAUGCCCCUACUACCUCCACUGUCACCCGAGCCACCCCUCCGGUCACCUCUUCGAGGGGGCGGUGGUGGAGCCUGCGCACCAGGCUGCUGCCUAAAAUAAUUCAAAAUUUCAGAUUCAAAAUUCAAAGUUCACGAGAACAAGGUACUAGUAGAAGUAUUCAGGGCUCAUCUGGACCAUCUAGAGUUUCAGUAGAAGUGUUGUUAUUAUAUUGUUUGUUCUAGGAACAGCUAACAGCUUUCUCAUUAAAUUUCUAAGCAGCUUUGUUGCCGUAAGAAUCAAAAGCCUGAAAUUCAAGUUUCAUUUUAGCUUCCCACAAAAGCAAAAGCAGUUGAUUUUUUUUUUAAGUCAAACUGCUGGCCUCUAAAAUCUUUUGCUUUCUAGAGUAAAGAAGCUGUCAGGAAGACAAUGAAAGACAGACAGUUAAUCGGCACAUAAAAAGUAAAAGCUGGAUGACAUCUUCU
rnacentral:lncRNA from 1 species